GCUUCAGUGUUUCUUCUUUUCAUCAUCUUCUCAGUCACACCAUCAUCCUUUUUGUUUGGUGUGGCCAACGCUACAAAUGAACCUGUGCUCGACACUGAUGGCAACGAAGUCCAAACAGGCACCGAAUACUACGUUGUGUCGGCGAUUUGGGGUGCUGGUGGUGGUGGGCUUGCCCUAGGCUGGCCUAGUGGAAACCCAUGCCCUGAAGUCGUUGCUCAAAGCCGAUCUGGUGACGAUGGUAUUCCGGUGAUAUUUUCUAAUUUGGACUCCAACGAUGGCGUUGUUCGCCUAUCCUCUGACAUAAACAUAGAGUUCAUUCCCCUCAGACCCAGACUUUGCCCAACAACAACGGUGUGGAAGGUCGAUGAUUACGACCAUUCAGCCGGAAAAUGGUGGGUGAUAACCGAUGGGGUUACAGGGAACCCAGGUGCCAACACUUUGACCAGUUGGUUUAGAAUAGAGAAGGGGGGUGCUCUUGGUUACAAAUUGAAGUACUGCCCCGCAGUAUGUGGAACAUGCCCCGCCUUAUGCAACGAAAUUGAGAGGGGCUUUGAUGGAGAAAUGGUACGUUUGGCUCUCUCCACUGGCAAUGGAUGGCCAUUUAUCUUUAAGAAAGUUGGAAAAUCAGCCACGGAGAUUCAACAAGUUGUUCAUAAUUAGAUUGAAAGCAAUCAUUAUGCAUGAACUAGUAGUUACUACUUAAUAUUAGCUUCAAGUAAAUAAUGCUGAGAGAACUUAUUGUUAAGAUUGCCUUGUUUGAAGCGGCAGCAUGUAUAUAUAUAUGCUUGCUCACAAGGUUUGUCUCUCAGAGUCCUCCUCUUUGUAUUCUUUUCAGCUUAAUGAAUAAACUAUUUACUUAUUUACUUCUUUUGUUGCCAUUGAUUCUAGUAGCAUUCGACUCAUUAACUUGGAUACAUUACCUUGUAAUUAACCAAAAACUUAUGUGUGUAUAUAUAUAUAUCAAAACAAAAAAAAAGAGUGAGAGAGGAAAAUAGACUACCAAGUACCAAGUGAAAAAUGGUGAUACUAAAUUUCCAGAUAUAUGGCGUUGUUUGUGUGUGACAAACACCAAGUAUAAAUAGGUGGAAGUAUGACUACUUAUCAAGAGUGGUAUGGCUCAAAAACUACCCUCAUCGAAUUAUUUCAUCCUACUCAUUCAUUAUCAAUAGGAAGAAGGAUACUUCCAACAAGAAAUAUUUUGAAGGGUUAGUGUUGAGUUAGCUAAAAAUCAAAGUUUAUCAGAAGCUCGAUCUAAAAUUCGCCAAAAGGAAGAUUAUUCAAAGCAAUUUCAAUGCACAACGGGAAUGGAAUAGUCUUUGAGUGGUUAGGGCACCUUAUCUUUUGAGAUAAAGAAGGGUUGGUCCAUGUUGGAGUUCGUGACUAAUCCUUACAACAAUGUCGUUUUCAAAGUUUGAACCUAUGUCAUCCUUUGAACAUGUAAUUUGUCUUACCAUUACACCUAACAUUGUUGGUGAUUUACUUUAUUAUAUUUUUAAUUAAUAAUUAUGAUAUAUAGUAUAUUUAAGAUGGAUUUUCUUAUUCAUGUAUAUCAAUUGAAUAAAAUAUUUGUAUUUAAAAUUUUAACUCGACAUAUCAAAGGUCUGCUACUCUAGCACGUCUCUGAUCUGCUGCUCUAGCAUGUUUUGGUUUUUUUAGGGUUUUUUUUUGCUUAUUUCUCUUUGUUCUGGCAAUGACAGUUCUUGGGAUAGAGUAUUUCUUCUCAAUCUUUUGAUUUUGAUUCGUGGCAAUGGAGGAUGAAUUGGCAGAGUUAACAUUGAAAGAUGAGGAAUAGGAGAUUUGGCUAGUACAGAAGGAAACUGAUUUUGCGACAGUGGUUUAAGAUCUUUGUCCGGUUGGAUGCUUUCUCACAACAAGUGUAAUCCACUUACGACAAUGAGAAGCGCGACUGUGAAUCUAUGGUAUCCUCUUAGAGGAGUUUAGAUCUCUAAUUUGGGGGAUAAGAGGUUAUUAUUUCAAUUUUUUCAUAAAAUGGAUAUUGAUAGGGUACUAAAUGGGGAUCCAUGGACUUUCAAUAAUCAUCUUUUGGUGUUUCAUUUUUUGGAGGAUGGUGAGGAUCCAAUGAAGGUACUGCUAAUCUAUACGACUUUUAGGGUACAAGUGCAUGAUUUACCCCCAGGGUUUUUUACUGAAUCUAUAGCAAAGAAGUUAGGUAAUUUUAAGGGUAAGGUUUUUAGAUCAAUGGCAAAAGCUUGGGUAAGGGCCUCAAGAAUUUCUUACAUAUACGGGUUUAGAUGGAUGUUAGACGCUCUUUAAAGCAAAAAAAGAAGAUUAUGUUUUCACUUGGGAAGUGUUCCUAUGUCAACUUGAUAUACGAAUGACUAACUCUGUUCUAUUUCUUCUAUGGUUGUUUGGGACACAAUGACUCUUUCUGUUAGGUUAGAAUGACUAAAGGAUUAGAAGUUUUAGAGAUGGGAUGGUAUCUAUCUCUAAAAGCCCAGUCUAGGAGAGUUGCUACGAUAAACAGUGUGUGGCUGCGGGAGGAAGGUGAAGGGGAGAUAAGGGGAAAUACCCUAAGGCAUUUUGAUUUGGGGUAGGGACUGUGGGAGGAUGGAAGGAAAGAAUCUAGGAUGCCCAUAGAUCCUGUGUUGGGGUUAAAUUUGGAGGGUGAUUUGAAUAUAGUGUCGGGUAUGCAAGGGGACUCUUCAAACAUAAAGGAUCAUUUGAAUAUGGAUCACGACUCGGAGAGGUGGAGAUGGGAAAAAAAGACCCAAAAAGGAUAAUGAAAAUCAUAGUGUUUCGAUUGUGACAGAUUCACUUGUGAUUAGAGAUGAGAGAUCGCUGGGACGAACUCACUUUUUAUCGGCGGUUGCCAGGGGCAAGAUGAUCGGUCGCAAUGAAAAUAAUUAGUUGGAACGUCUGUUGAUUGGGGUGUCCACGAGCUAUAAGAAGGCUUCGACAUAUGCUGAAGGUGUAUAAUCCCCAAGUGGUCUUCUUUAUGGAGACAAAAAUUAGUAAUGUGCAAAUGGAGAAUGUGCAUAGAAGGUGUGGAUUUUUAAAUGGUAUUGAUGUUUCUGCCGAUGGUUUAAGAGGAGGUCAUUUUUUAGCUUGGAAGAAAAAUGUUAAAACGAAUUUAAGGAGUCAUUCUAGUAGUCAUGUAUAUGUUGUAUUUUAGGAGACUGAUAAUGGAGGUUUACUGGCUUCUAUUGGACAUCGAAUACGCGUAGCAGAGACAAUUCAUGGAAUUUGUUAAGAAAUCUAGGACGCUCUCAGGAGUUCCCUUGGCUAGUGUGUGAUAAUUUUAAUGAAAUUAUGUACUCUUUUGAAAAGUUAGGGUGCCAAGAGAGGAGAGGAGAAUGGAGGUCUUUCGAGGAGUCUUAGAGGAAUGUUAGUUAAUGGACAUUGGAUACUUUAGGGCUUGGUUUACCUGGGAAAGGGGAAACUUACCGAAAACGAAUAUGAGAGAGCGACUAGAUAGAGGAGUGGUGAAUGUCGAAUGGAUGAACAUGUUUUCUAGUGCAGUGGUUUAGCAUUUACCACAUUCUUUUCCAGAUCAUUGUCCCCUUCUUAAUUAUACGGAGCAGGAGAGUAUUAGGUUGAGGCAGAAAAGGUUUCAGUCUGAGGCAUGGUGGGUAAUGUAAGAAUCUUUUAAGGAGGAGGUUAAACAAACAUGUCAAUCUACUUCGGGUGAUAUGUUGGCUAGGCUAGAAGGUGUGAGGAAGGGCUUGCUGAGAUGGGUGGGUUUUGUUAGAAAUAAAAGAGAGGGCCUUAAGAAGGAACUGACUAGAAAAUUAGAGGAGAUGAUGGGAAAGGAUAGAGAUGAUGAGAAUAUUGUUGAACUAUCUUAAGAUUCUCUUGUCAUAACUUGAAGUUGGUGUCAUUUAAUAUAAGAAUACAAUUAAUGCCUGCAAUAAUGUUGGCAGGUAUAAUCAUUGUUGUAUCAAACAAAACAAUCUCACGUAUGACUUCAAAUAUAAAACAAAAUAAUAAUUAAUUCAAAUAAAGGUAAACCCUAAGAUACCAAUCACUCCAUUAAUAUUUCAUUUUUGGACAAAUAUAUUAAGUUGUAAAUGAUAUCUUGGUGUAGUAAUUAAACAUCGACAAUAAGCGUCACAUGUUUAUUACAACAGUUGCAAAUGUAAUUUUGUUAAAUAUAAGCCUCCAUUUAGACCAGUCAAUAUUAACAUAACUUAAGUUACUUGCACACAACUCCAAAAUUAUAAAAGUCCAAUUGUUAAACCGAUUUGGUUCCUUUAACAUAGGAAAGCCGAAUUGCAUAAACAAUCAAUGUAUCCCCUAUUUUAUUCAUGUUUAUCACAAUGUUUGGAGUGCUCACUCUUUUAGGGUGUGCUUACCAUUUAGGUUAAAAAGCAUCAUUCAACCCAAACAAUUUUUUAAAACCAAACAUUAAUUUUAAACUAGCAUUUUAGGCCAACCCAAAACUUCUAGCUUUUACCUUUCGGAAAGGUGCUUUUCAAUUAAAAACCUUUUUAUUCCUCAUUAAAUCUUCUUAUUUAUAACAUAAUGUCUAAAAUAGAAAUUUUAUUUUUCUAAAAACACUUAUAGACAACAAUAAUGUUAAGUAUAACUCCUAUUUUUAGUCAAAUUUGAAAAAUAAUCUUUUAGUUAAACUCUGUUUAUUUAUUUCAGUCAAACACUGAUUAGUUUAGAUUAUUUUUUUAUUAUUUGACAUAUGAAUUUAGCCUAUAAAUAGGCUCUUUUACAACCUUAGAAAUAACACCCAUUAGAGAUUAGAACUCAUAACACAUUUAGAGAAUUUUGUGUUUACGUUUUGAGAGUUCUUUGUUUUCGGGUUUUCGGGGUUUAGUUUUAUCUCUAUCUUUUAUACUCUUCGUUCUUUUGCCAUUAUAAUAAAAUUAUCUUUGCCCGUGAUUUUUUAUCCUCUUUGGAGGAGUUUUUCCAUGUUAAAUUUGUGUGUUCAAUUUCUCAAUUUAUUCUGCUAUUUUUGUUACUUGUUGCUUAAUCGGGCCGAUCCCUAACAAGUGGUAUCAGAGCUAGUUCAAAGAUUAGCCAUUUAGAUAUGGCAACAACAAGGUUUGAAAUUGAGAAGUUCGAUGGUGAGACAAAUUUCAAUCUGUGGCAAGUUCGGAUGAUGGCAAUUCUAGUUCAAUCCGGUUUGAAAAAGGUUGUUACCGGGAAAAAACCUGAGAAUCUAAAUAAAACAGAAUGGGAAGAGCUUGAUGAAAAGGCAUUGUCUGCAAUCUAGUUGUGCCUCGCGAAUACUGUAUUGCAGGAGGUAUUGAUGGAGAAGACCUCAUCCGCCUUGUGGAAAAGGUUAGAAACUUUUUAUGCGACUAAGUCUCUAGCUAACCGUUUAGUGUUGAAACAACAUCUAUUUACGUUUCGCAUGAACGAAGGUAAGCUUCUUAGAGAUCACACAGUCAAUUUAUUACUCUUUUAAAUGAUUUAAAGAACGUUGAGGUUCAUAUUGAUGAUGAAGAUCAAGCUAUGCUAUUAUUAUGCUCUUUACCCCCUUCAUACAAGUCUUUUAGGGAGACCCUGAUUUAUGGCAAAGACAAAAUCUCGUUCGAAGAUGUGAAGGGUCAUUUGUUGAGUAGAGACAAACUCGACAAUGAGCUUCAUUUGGAUACCAAGGCAGAUAGGCAAGUUUCCAUUUUAGUAGCAUCAAAGAAACGAGACAAAAGGUGUCGCUAUUGUAAAAAGUUAGGUCACGUCAAAGCAGAUUGUUAUAAACUGCGAAAUAAAAGAGCUGCUGAGAGUAACGAGGAAGAUGUAGCUGGUGCUAAUUUGGCCGAUGAAAGUGGUGAUGAUUUCUUGUUAGUGUCAACAUGCGAUAACUCCAAACUCACGUCCAAGUGGAUCCUAGAUUCGGGAUGUUCUUUCCACAUGUAUCCCAAUAAAAAAUGGUUCUCUACAUACAGUUCGGUUGAAGGUGGAUUUGUGUGCAUGGGAAACGAUUCAUCUAGUAAGGUAGUUGGUAUUGGAACUGUUAAAAUCAGGACACAUGAAGGGACAAUUAGGACACUCUCAGAUGUCAGGUAUGUACCUGAUUUACGAAAGAAUCUCAUCUCCUUGCUUAUUUUAGACUUGAAAGGAUGCAAAAUCAACAUCGAUUCGAGCGGUAUUAAAGUAUCUCGUGGAGCUUUCGUUUUGUUAAAAGGUAAAAGAACUGAUAGUCUUUAUAUUCUGGAAGGUUCUACAGUGACUGGUGAAAUCGGACAUCCUUCAUCCGUUAUAAAGUCGAAGUCAACUCGUUUGGAGCGGAGGCAACUUGGUCAUAAGAGGGAAAAUGUAUGACUGUUUCGUUGAAGAGAGGUUCUCUUUUGGAUGCAGGUUUUGAAAAGUUAAGGCACUAUGUUCGUGAAAAUCAGACCCGAUUAGUUUUGAUUUGGCAGUGUACAAGUCAAAGGCUAGAAGUCUUCUAGUUUCUAAGUACAGAUUCGACUUAGUUAAUUCCCUGCAUAGUUCAAGAUAGGCUCGUGGCGGGCUUUGGCAAAGAUGGCGUUGUGGAAAUGUGAGUCAAGGUGGAGAUUUGUUAAGUGUGACUCCUAUUUUAAGUCAAAUUUGAAAAAUAAUCUUUUAGUUAAACUCUGUUUAUUUAUUUCAGUCAAACACUGAUUAGUUUAGAUUAUUUUUUUUAUUAUUUGACAUAUGAAUUUAGCCUAUAAAUAGACUCUUUUACAACCUUAGAAAUAACACCCAUUAGAGAUUAGAACUCAUAACACAAUUAGAGAAUUUUGUGUUUACGUUUUGAGAGUUCUUUGUUUUCGGGUUUUUAGGGUUUAGUUUUAUCUGCAUAUUUUGUACUCUUCGUUCUUUUGCCGUUAUAAUAAAAUUAUAUUUGUCCGUGAUUUUUUAUCCUCUUUAGAGGAGUUUUUUCACGUUAAAUUUGUGUGUUUAAUUUCUCAAUUUAUUCCACUAUUUUUAUUAUUUGUUGCUUAAUCACUCUUUUUUAACAGAGAGCUUAUCUCUUAGCAAUAGUUUGGGCAAACAAAAAUAAUGUAUAUAUGAAAACGAAUAUUGAAUUUGAAUGUACAAUCAAUUUUUUGAACAAUUAAUUAAAAAGAAUGUUUGAAUUCAAAAAUUUUAAAAAUUUUGAUAAAAAAUGUGGAAGCGCAGACUUGUGUGAUGAAUAGUAAUGAUAAUAAUGAUAGAAGUUGUUUUCCUGGCACAAGCAACUUAUGGGAUUCGUCCAUUUGGUUCUAUAUUUCUCCGCUGCCUUGAGUGUUUAAGAGUUAAACGAUAAAUUAUUAAGUAGAAAACACCAAACGAAUUGAAUUAUUUUCUUAAGAUGGUGUCGGUAAUGUAUCUGUAGAUACCCAUUUGAAUUUUUAGAAAACUGAAAAAAUAAUUUAUUUUUUCGAUUGAAUCAGCAGCAAGAAAAUAAGAAAAAAGACAACUUUGAGUUUGAGUUUGCAGCUCUGAGAUUUCGUUCGGUGAUUUGAACGGUGAGGUGAUAUGUUUAAAUGCGGGAAAUAAUAUAUAUCGGACUAGCAACAAUAUGAUGGAGUGAAAUAGAGAUUGAAGAAAGAGUAAUUUGAAGCUUUGGUCAUUAUAUUAAAGGAUUUCGAGCCGAUUUUUAGGAAAUCUAAAUCGUAGAAGUGAACAAAUAUUCUUCUUUUGUGCCACAAUCGACACAAAAGGCUAUUGUGAAUGGCAACAUUGACAAUUAUUGAGUACGGUGGCUAAAAUUUUUAAUUAAAAAAAGGAAAUAAAUAAAAUAAAGGAAAUGAAAACAAAAAGAAAAAUGUGAAAAGAAAGAAAGAAAUAAUAAUAAUAAUAAUAAUAACAACGUGAACUAUCUUAAGGUUCUCUUGUCAUAACUUGAAAUUGGUGUCAUUUAAUAUAAGAAUACAAUUAAUACAUGCAGUAAUGUCAAGGUAGAAUUGUAGUUGUAUCAAACAAAAUAAUCUCACUAAAAUAAUAAUUAAUUCGAAUAAAGGUAAACCCUAAGUUACUAAUCACUCCAUUUAUAUUUCAUCUUUGGAUAAAUAUAUUAAUUUGUAAAUGACAUCUUUGUGUAGUAAUUAAAUACUGACAAUAAGUAUCGCAUGUUUAUUACAACAGUUGCAAAUGAAAUUUUGUUAAAUAUUAGCCUCCAUUUAGGCCCAUCAAUAUUAACAUAACUUAAGUUAUAUGCAUAAAACCCCAAAAGUAUAAAAAUUUUAUUGUUAUUUAAAUAUAUUUUUAAAUUUUUAAAUACUUUUUGUUUAAAUUUUAUAAUUUUUUAAAUAGUGAACCCGUCGGAUCAAAGAUCAUAUUGAUUAAAUUCAAUCAAAUCAAGAAUUGAUUAUUUCACCAAUUCACUGGCCCAAUUUACAAGAUUAUGUAUUAUGUAUUAUUAUUAUUAUUAUUAUUAUUAUUACGUGUCACUCAUCAUUUGAUUAUGAGAAGAUAAGAAAGAUGAAAACAAAGUGGACCUAAUAAUUAACCUCACAUGUGAAAUGUGUUAUUGAUGCAUCGUUGAGAGCACCAAAAAUAUCCUAUCCCUAUAAAAUAACGAAAAGAAUAGUAAAAGAGAAUUAGGGCCAAAUCUUCAGACUGGAUUUGCACAACUUCUUGUUCCUCGAGAUCCCGGGCAUAGUCGUGCCCAAGAAAAAUGGCGUACCUGAAAAAAAUAAAAAAAAUAGAAUUAAAAAUAUGGACGAAUUGAGAUUGUGUAACUUGAAAUUGAAAUUGUAAAAAUAAACAGAGUCGUCAAAACAGAUUCUUGGAUUGAGAGAUUCUAGCCUCUAGUUAUCUCGAUCCUCAUUGGUUCAAUCCUAGGCUUUUAGGUGAUCCUUCUCGAACAGAAUAAGCUAGUUAUAGUAGAAGAGGACACCUACGACUACCAACUCUACUUAGAUUUUAGACUUACGAUUUAGAGGAACCUAACUCAAGCCAACCGUCACUUUUGUUGGACCGUCUUAAACUAGAUCAUCAUUUCUCAAUGGCAAAUACCAUGUCAUUUUGUCUAUUGGGCUUAACAACCACUGACACAGUAAGCUAACGAACCGACUGUGUCACCUUCCCAAAACAUACAAAACGGUCGCCUUUGCACAAGAUGAAAAGACUUUUGGAAGGACAUAGACAAAAGCGUUAGUCCCGUAAUGCGGAGAAACGAUGAAUUAAGCAUCAGUCCCGUAAUGCGGAGAAACGAUGAAUACUCGUUGAGAAAGCUAAGUGCAGAUUUUAUGCCUCAUGAACCUUUUUUGAGGAAUCAUGACAACCUUUAGCUAGAUGAGUUUAGUGGCUCAUGCUUUUCGGGAAAAAAAAAAAGAAAUAAGUUUACUAAAAUGGAAUUUUAUUGAAUAAAUAAAAAGGAACAAAAAGCUAAGAGCUUUAGAGAGAGGGAGUUUUUACAGAAAAGAUUAGUGCAAUUUGUGUCACGCCGUCCCCUAUUUAUAUUACUUAGAAAACCUAGUUUUUUCCUAUUUAAAUUCUAAAAGAUAAAUAAAGAUAAAAGCUGAAAUUAAAUCUAAAUAAUAAUCUUAACAAUAAUCCUAAUAGAAUUCAAUUUAAAUAGAGUCUUGUGUUUAUAAAAUCUCUUAUUUGAAUUGUUGCCCCCAAGUCUUCCACACUUUGUAUUUUUGGCACCAUUUCUUUCCUAUUUUGCAUUUUGACCCAUUUUGUUUCAAAUUCACACUUUUUGCCCCCAAAUUUCCUUUUGGCUUCAAUUUAAUCCCUACCAGAUAAAAACCCAUAAAUAGCUCAAAUUAGUAGGAUUAUAUUCAAAAUAAGUAUGUAAUUAAUACAUAAAAAUAUGUUAUUCCAGAGUAUUAUCAAAUUCCCCCUACUUAGCCCAUGCUUGUCCUUAAGAAUAGUUCCUAUCUACUGUGAAAUUUAGAUUUUACCAUGAAAGAAAUAUUACUCCAAAGUUUUAUAAAAAUUAGGCAUAAUGCAUAUGAAAAAUAAAGAGAACCUUUAGCUUGCUUUAAGUAAAACUGGAAAAGUAUUCCAAUUUAAACAUGCAAAAAUCAAAACCGACUUGGAUCAUUUCAUGAAAAUUAGGUAAUUUACUAAACUUACCAAGACACCCUAUUUGUUUCCACCCUUAGUCCCCAAAUGCAAUUCAUUAUUAUUACUUAUUUUUCUUUUUUUUAAUAAAAUGUUGAACCUUUUGACGCAAAGACAGAUGACAACCAAGCAGCCCACCCUGGUUAUUCAGCCCAACACAUUCCUAAAAAUUUUUUGUUUAAUUCCGAUUAGCAGAGUUUGUAAUACCCCGAAAAUUACUACAGUAAUAAAUUAAGAUAAUAUUCUUGACAUAGUAAAAUAAGGAAAUAAAGUGAUAAAAGGGUAAUUUUGAGUUAUGUCAACAUUGGGAAGUAUGUUAUGACAUAUUAAUUCAAGAAAGGAUUAAAUUGUAAAAGUGAGAAAAAUUUUAUUACCCAAGAGUAAAUACUCAAAAUUUGAGGGGUUAAAAUGUAAAUAUGAAAAAUUUGAAAGACCAAUAGUGUAAAUAUUUUAAGGGUGGAAUAAUCUAGAAACUAAGAAAAAUGGAUGAAUUGGGACCAAAUUGAAUAGGUGAAGAAUUAUGAGGGACUAAAUCAUAAUUUUACCAAAUUAAGUGAUGACUCAAGGAUGGAAUUUUAAAAGAUCUAAAAGGCAAAAUGGUCAAUUACAAGAAAGAAAAAUCUAGAAAAUAAUGAUGAUGUUGGAGAUAUUUUAGAUUAAAUAAAUAAAUAAAUAUUAGUUUAUUAAUAUUUUAAUUUAAUUUUUAAAUGAGAUUUUAUUAUUUUAUUAUUAUUUUAUUAUUAUUUUAUUUAAUAUAUAUAUGGAAGGAAAGAUGAAGAAUUUUCAUCUUCUUCCUAUGCAACUAAUGUAUGAAGAGAAAAGAAAGGAAGAAACUUUCAUUUCUUUACAAUUUGACCCUUUCACCAAAUACUCACCAUUUUCACUUAGAAAUCAAAAGAAUUUCCAUGUCCAUCAAGAGAGAAAGAUAACAAGGAGACUAUGGGGAGUUAUAAAAUCAAGUUAGGUUCAAGAAAUAGAAGCUGGAGGAGAGAAAAAAUCAAGUUAAAGGUUGCAACUAAUAGGACAAGGUAAGAACAUCAAGAUUAAUUCAAUAUAUUUUUAAGUUUGUUAUCAUUGAAAAAGCAUGGAAAUGAUGUUAUAGUAGAGUUUUCUUAAAUAAAGUCUUAUGUUCUUGAUAUAUUAGUGAAGGGAAAUAAGAGAAAGUGAUGGAAAAUAUUAUAGAGAAAAUGAAUAAGGAAGUUAUAAACUUAGUAAUCAAUAUCAUGCAUUAAAACAGUUUUGGACAGCAGCAGUAGUCUAACUUUGAAAAAUCACCAAAAAUUGUGGGAAUCGAAUUAGAGGAUGUAAAAUAUGAAUUUAAAUAUUAUUGAGUCUAGUUUAUCAUAGAAGAAAUGGUGUAAGCAAUGGAAGUAUAAAUCAUGAGAUAUAAUAGGUUUUGUGAGACAAGGUCAGAAUGAUUUCGGGUUCCGCUGUUCUAACUUUGGAAAAUCAUAAAAAAUUGGAUAAAACUAAUUAGGGGUUUAAAUUUAUAUGUUUAAAAUCCUUAAUUAGUAUAUUUUCAAGAUAAAUAAACUAGGACAUCAUUAAAAUUCUGUACAAUGAGAUAAUUAAUUUUUAGUGAAGAGAGUUUGGAACAGUCAAACAGUGAAAUAGGGGAAAAUUUAAAGAAUAAACUGUACUUAUUGGUUGAACCAAAAGUUCUGAAAUUUUUAUGGUAAGAAUAUAUGUGAGUCUAGUUUCAAGUAAAAUUAACGGAUCUUAAUUUGGAGCUCUGUAGCUCAAGAUAUAAAUAAUUUUGUGACUAUGACUCAAGUGGACAGCUUUGAAUGAACAAAUAAAUAAAUAGUGAAAUUAUAGAUAAUGUUACAUAUAAGCAUGUUAUAUACAUUAAGAAUGUGGAAUGGAGAGGUGGAGGAGGAAAAAUAUAUGAUUAUUCAACUAGCAUGAGUUUUCAUUAAAAAUGGCCAAUUUGCAUGUUUUAGGUUCAAGGAUUAAAUUGAAUAAAAGUAAUAUUUUAAGGGUAAAUUGGUAAAAAUGUCAAAAAGUGACCAAAUUUCAUGAAUGAAUUGUUUUAUUAUUUAAAUUAGUAAAUUUAAUGAAAUAUUAAUUUACAUCAAGAUUGGGUGGAAAUUUGAGAAAAAUAGAAAAUUUUUAAAAUGUCCCUGAAUUUUGGUUUUUCUACAAUUUAGCCUGGUAAGUUUGUGUGAACUGUAUUCUGUAUAAUUUUAAUUGAAGUGAAUUCUAUUUGGUAAUGAAUAUUAUAUAUGUGUGUGUUUUAUUAUUGGAAUGGAAUUAUUAUUGGUAAUAUGUAUAUUUGAUGCAUUGAAAUGAUUAUCGGACGCUCAAUUGAGUUGGAAGCUUGUUGGAGAUAUAUCAUAUUAUCCAUUGGUUCUAUCGAUAAUUUUGGAUGAUUUGAUUCGGUUAUAAUGGCAUGUAGAAGUUAAAUUGGUUAACGUUAGCUCAUUAAUGUUUUAAUUUUGAUUGGUUAUAAAUACGAAUGUUUGAUGAAAUGAAAUGUUUGUAAAUUAAUUUGUAAACUCCAAUAAUGCUCUAUAACCCUAUUCUGGAGAUGGAUACGGGUUAGGGGUGUUACAGAGUUUUACCUAACACGUUACACAACCUUUUGACGCGAAAUAGGAUGACAACCCAAGCACCCUACCCUGAUUACUCAGUCAGUCACGUUUUAAGCUACACUCAUAACCAUGGAGGCAUAAAAAAAUUUUAUUGUAAUGAAAUAAAAUUUUAAUUUUGGAGGACUAGGAAAAACAAUCAAGUGUCAAAAAUAAGUUUUGGCAACUCCCUAACAGUCAUGAACAUAAAUUUAGCAUACAAUUGUAUUAGGUGUCCUCUUUGCAUUUAGACUUAAUCAAUUAAAAGUAAGAUAGGGCUAACUCCAUUAAUCAUAAUUAUUUUAGCCUAAUAGAAAUAAAACGUCAGAGUCGAAGUCAAAAUCGUCGAACACAACUGCUAGUUGGGCCGAAAGAGCUUGUGGCCAUCGACUAGUCCGGUGUCGAGAGGGGUCGAAAGCCGAAGAUGGUGGUGGCGAUGGUAGGUGUGAAGCAAGCGAUGGGGGAAACGGUGGAGGAAAAGAAAGGGCUAACGGUGGUGGUGAAGUCGAGUGGGAAGGUGCGGUGUCACGUGGAGGAGAGGGGGACUGGGAGGGUGCAGCUUCGGCUAAGUUGACGUGUUGGGGUUUCAAAAAUCAAUGUCAGUGGCUGUUGACGGAAAAAGAAGGUUUGACAAUGGCACGACUUCUAGUCCUAACCAUGGUGGUGGGAAAAAAUCGAUGGUGGGGGUAAGGGAGAAAGCUAACGGCGGCUGGAGGGGUGCUUGGGUGAAAAUAGGGAAAAAUUUAGGGUUUGAAGGUGUAGAAUGAAAGGUGUUUGGUUGUAAAAUGGGUGUUUGGACGUAGGUUUUGGGUAAGUUUAAAGUAAGGUGUUUGGUUGUAGUUGCUUUAUGCAGCAUCUAGGGUUUUUGAGGCAUAACAAAUGACAUGGGGCUCUCUGUCUAUCUUUUGUCCCAACACGGCCCCCACAUUGUUCUCGCUUACAUCGCACAUAAUUUAAAAUGGGUAGUUCUAAUGUGAUGCUUGUACUAUAGGAGCGGAAACCAACUUCUAUUUGAACGUGUCAAAAGCCUUCUUACAUUUUGGGCUGAACUCAAAUUUCUUAUCUUUCUGCAAUAAUUCGUAUAGUGGUUCAACUACCUUUGAGAAGUUCUUUAUAAAGCGCCUGUAAAAUCUUACAUGGCCAAUGAAAAAACAUAUUUCCCUUACAGUUGAGAGAUAUGGCAAAGAAUUUAUAAUGUCAGUUUUGGUCUUAUCAACCUCAAUCCCUUUAGCUGAAACUAUAUGUCCUAGAAUUAAACAUUUAUCUACCAUAAAAUGACACUUUUCAUAAUUCAAGACAAGAUUAAAUUCUAUGCAUCUACUUAAAAUUAUCGUGAGGUUUUUAAGGCAUUCAUCAAAACAGUUCCCAUAUACAAUAAAAUCAUCCAUAAAAACUUCGAUGAUGUUUUCUACAUACUCAGAAAAUAUACUCAUCAUACAUCUUUGGAAGGUGGCUAGUGCGUUGCAAAGUCCGAAUGGUAUCCUUCUAUACACAAAUGUGUCGAAUGGGCAUGUAAAAGUGGUUUUUUCUUGGUGGAAGAAACCUGAGUAUCCAUUAAGACAGUAAAAGUAAGUUUUACUAGCUAAAUGCUCAAGCAUUUGAUCUAUAAAAGGAAGAGGGAAAUGGUCUUUUCUAGUAUAAGAAUUCAACUUCCUAUAAUCAAUGCAGACAUGCCACCCAUUUUGCACUUGGGUUGGUACCAGGUCGCCCUCAUCAUUUUUCUUUACUGUCAUGCCUGUUUUCUUAGGCAUGACCUGCACCGGACUUACCCAUCUACUGUCAAUAAUGGGGUAUAUUACGUCAGCAUCUAGAAGCUUAAUUAUUUCAUUUUUACCACAUCCAUCAUAUUCGGGUUCAACCAUCUUUGCACCUUCGCUUUGGUUUCAUGUUUUCCUCCAAGUAGAUCUUCUGUGUGCAUGUCAAAAGGCUUAUCCCUUUUAAGUCAGCAAUGGUCGAGCCAAUCAUCUCUUUAUGGUUUUUUAGUACCUAUAUCAAACUUUCCUCUUCAAGCUUAGAGAGUCUAUAAAAUAACCUAUCCCUAUAAAAUAACGAAAUGAAUAGUACAAGGGAAGUAGGGUCAAAUCCUUAAGGGCUAGAUUUACACAACUUCUUGUUCCUCGAGAUCUCGGGCACAGUCAUACCCAAGAAAAACGGCAUACCUGAAAAAAUAAAAAAAAUAGAAUUAAAAAUAUGGACGAAUUGAGAUUAUAUAAAUUGAAAUUGAAAUUGUAAAAAUAAAUAGAAUUGAAAAAAGGGAUUCUUCGAUUUAAGAGAUUUUAGCCUCCGGUUGUCCCGAUCCUCCUUGGGUUCAAUCCUAGGCUUUUAGGUGAUCCUUCUCAUAACAGAAUAAGUCAGAUAUAGUGGAAGAGGACGCCUACAACCACCAGUUCUACUUAGAUUUUAGACUUGUGUUUAAAUAGAGUCUUGUGUUUAUAAAAUCUCUUCUUUGAACUUUUGCCCCCAAGUCUUCCACACUUUUUAUUUUUGACACCACUUAUUUCCUAUUUCGCAUGUUGGCCCAUUUUGCUUCAAAUUCACGCUUUUUGGCCCCAAAUUUCCUUUUGCCUUCAAUUUAAUCCCUACGAGAUAAAAAACCAUAAACAACUCAAAUUAGUAGGAUCAUACUCAAAAUAAAUAUGUAAUUAAUACAUAAAAAUAUGUUAUUCCAGCAUUUUCAGUUAUAUAUAAGGGUUAAAUCAUAAUUUAGUCCCUAAAGUUGUACCAAAUAAUUUGUUUAGUACUUAAAGAUUGUAUUGCAUCAAUUUGGUACCUGAAGUUCGAAAAUGUUUAUACCCAUUACUCCAAAGCCUAAUUCCAUUAAAAAAAACUAUUUUUUCGAAAUAAAUUCAAAAAUAAAAAUAGAGAAAUAACAAAAAAGUCUCAAUUUAAAAAAAAUUGAAAAAACUUAAAAUUUAUAAAGAAAGUCAGAAAAUAUGAAAAUAUAAUUUUUAAAAAAUACAUAAAAUAAAAAUUAGCGAAAAUUCAAAAAGAAAAACAAAAUUAAAAAUUUAGAAAAACACUGAAAUAAUAUAGAAAUAUAAAUGCCUACAGUACCUAUUAUUAACGUUGAAUUUUCUAACUUUUUCCUAAAAAAUUGCUUUUAGAUUUUAUUUUUUAAAAAUACAUUUUUUUAAUAAUUUGAGUCUCAUGGCUAUAAAGUUCUUUUAACUUAGCAAUAUGUCAUAUUUUAUGUUUCUAAAAAUAUUGUAGUCUCCAAAGGUGUAGUCUCGACCAAAAAAACAAACAAGAAUUUGAUUUUUUUUUCCACUAAGUCUUCAGAAUUUGUGAUUACCGUUUUUAAUAGUAAUGUUGUCACUAAAAUUCUAUUCUGUAUCUACCUUAUUUUACUAUUGCACUUCAUACUUAUUGAUGAUUUAAUUUUAUUAUUAAUAAUUAAUUAUGAUAUAUAUUAUAUUUAAGAUGGAUUUUCUUAUUCAUGGAUAUCAAUUAAAUAAAAUAUUUGCAUUUAAAAUUAAAACUAUGACAUUAAUUUUUUUUUAAUUUAAAUCAAUUUGGCUCUUUUAACAUAGGGAAGUCGAAUUGCAUAAACAAUCAAUGUAUUACCUAUUUUAUUCAUGUUUACCACCGUGCUUAAAGAAAUGCUCACUUUUUUAGGGUGUGCUUACCAUUGAGAUUGGAAAACAUCAUUCAACCCAAACAAUGAUUUCAAACCAAACAUUAAUUUUAAACUAGGAUUUUAAGCCAAUCCAAAACUUUUACCUUUUACCUUUUGAAAAAGUACUUUUCAAUUAAAAAUCUUUUUAUUCCUCAUUAAAUCUUCUAUUUUAUAACAUUACGUCUAAAAUAAAUAUUUUAUUUUUCUAAAAUUAUUUAUAGACAACAAUAAUAAACACUAUUAAUUUUUCUAAAAGCACUUUUUCACUGUAAUAUUAAACUUAAAUGAUAAACUUGCCUUUUAACCACUCUUUUCUAACAUAUAGCAUAUCUCUUAGCAACGAUUUGGGACAACAAAAUUAAUGUAUAUAUGAAAACGAAUAUUGAAUUUGGAUGUCCAAUCAAUUUUUUGAAUAAUUAAUUAAAAAUAAUUUUUUAAUUCAAAAAAUCUAAAAGAAUUUGAUAAAAAAAAUGUGGAAGGGCACACUUGUAUGAUGAAUAGUAAAGAUAAUAAUGAUAGAAGUUGUUUUCCUGGCACAAGGAACUUAUGGGAUUCGUCCAUUUGGUUCUAUAUUUCUCCACUUGCUUGAGUGUUUAAGAGUUAAAGGACAAACUAUUAUGUAUAAACACCAAACGAAUUGGAAGGCUUUUGUCUUCUUCAAAUUUUACAUUCAAUAUCAUCAUCACAAUCAUGGUAAUUUACUUUCAUGAAUAAACUUUUAUGUCCCAUUUUAACCUGAAUUAUUAAAAAUUAUUAAGUCAAUUAUAUUUUUAAGAUGGUGUCGUUGUCCAGCGACAUUGAUUUAAAUUUUUUAAAAAAUUAUUUUAAAAAAUGAAAAAAAUUUACUUUUUUGAUUGAUUCAGCAGCAAGAAAAAAAAAAGAAAACUUUUCGGAUUCAAAACUCUAAAAAUCUGUUCAUGAUCUGAACGGUGAGGUGAUGUAUUUAACUGUGAAGAAUAAUUUAUAUUCGACUAGUGACAAUCUGAUAGAGUAAAACAGAGAUUAAAGAAAAAGUAGUUUGAAAUCUUGAUCAUUGUUUUAAAGGAUUUGAAGUAGAAUUCUACAAAAUUUAAAUUGUAGAAGUGAAUGAGGAGAAAAAGCCCCUGUGAAUGGCAACAUAGAUGGUUAUUUAGUAUGGUCGUUAAAAUUUUCAUUUAAAGAAAAAGGAAAUAAAUAAAAUAAAAUGAUAGGAAAACAAAAAUAAAAACGUGAAAAGAAAUAAAGAAAGAAUAAUAAUAAUAAUAAUAAUAAUAAUAAUAAUAAUAAUAAUAAUAAGAGAAUUUUGGGGGCGAUGCCUUUGUACAAAUCUGCAACUACACGUGAAGUGGAAUAAAAAGUUGAGCAUGUCGCUCAGCCUUGCGCUUUCGAGGCGCUCCAUUCAUCACGAAUGGGGCCAGAUUUCUCAAUGAGUGAAAGUGGUACUAAUAAUUUACCUCACAUUUGAAAUGUGUUAUAAAUAUAUAUGUGGAUGAAAUUUUUGCUACCAUGCUAAAAUUGAAGAUUUUAAUUUUGGUGGAUUUUAAGUUUUUAUAUAUUUUAAAAUUUAAAAUUUUAAUCUUAAUUUAAAUGAUAAUCGUUAAAUUUGUUGGGUCAAAUUUUGUUAUUAGUCAAUUACUAUGCAUAAUUAUGAACUUAAUUCAUGUAUUUCAAUUUGAUCACUUUCAGUCAUUAUAUUUUUCAGUUUUGGAAUUCUGGUACUACUUAAAUGGUAACUAUUAAAUCCAUUUACUAUAAUGAUAUAAGAUUUUUGUGAGUAUUAUGUAAAAUAGCUACUUAUCACAUUUUUAAUGUAUAUAUUUAUUAUAUUGUAUAUACCAUUUCAACUAAAUUCAUUUAAUUUUUAUAAAUUUAUUAUAUAAAUUUAAGUACAAAUAUGUGUCAUUCUCUAAUAACAAUAAUAAUAAUAAGUGGAUGACAUAAGAUGUGUCAAAACAUUUAUCUUCAAUUCUGAUGCAGAAAGGCAGGCGGUCAUUUUUAGUAAAAAUACAUAAAUAUAUCACUAAAUUAUUAGUAGCAUUCUGUUUUCCUUACUAAAUGAUAAUACUCUACUAAAAUAAACUUAACUAUUGUAAUAAAAUAUUUUUAUAUAAUAAAAAAAGAAAUUAUAGAAAAGACUUAUUGGAUAUAUUUCCAAUUUUCGACAUUCAUAAAAUAAAAAAUAAAAAUUAUUUAUACAAAAUCAAAAAAUGGUCCUAUUAAUUUACCUCACAUUUGAAAUGUGUUAUAUGUAAUAAUAUUAAUAUCUUUAUCAAUUUUGGACUUUCACCUUUCCCAUCUCUAUAAAUUUGCAUGCAGAACUAAAGCAACACAUAUCAACACAAUCGGUAUAACCAUGAAAACCACAACAGCUUCGGUGUUUCUUCUUUUCAUCAUCUUCUCGAUCACACCAUCGUCCUUUUCGUUUGGUGUGGCCAACACUACAAACGCUCCUGUGCUCGACAGUGAUGGCAACGAGCUCCGCACUGGCACCCCAUACUUCGUUGUGUCGUCGAUAUGGGGUGCUGGUGGUGGGGGGCUUGACCCAGGCAGGCCUAGAGGAAAGCCAUGCCCGGAAGUCGUUGCUCAAAGAGGAUCUGGUGACAAUGGUAUUCCGGUGAUAUUUUCUAAUUCGGACUCCAAAGAUGGCGUUGUUCGCCUAUCCUCUGACAUAAACAUAGCGUUCGUUCCCCUCAGACCCAAAUUUUGCGAAACAACAACGGUGUGGAAGGUCGCUGAUUACGACCACUCAGCCGGAAAAUGGUGGGUGAUAACCGAUGGGGUUAAAGGGAACCCAGGUGCCAACACUUUGACCAGUUGGUUUAGAAUAGAGAAGACGACUACUGAUUUUGAUUACACAUUUAAGUACUGCCCCGCAGUAUGUGGAACAUGCCCAGCCUUAUGCAACAAAAUUGUGAGAGACUUUGAUGGAGAAAUGGUACGUUUGGCUCUCACCACUGGCCAUGGAUGGCCAUUUAUCUUUAAGAAAGUUGGAAAAUCAGCCAUGGAGAUUGAACAAGUUGUUCAUAAUUAGAUUGAAAGCAAUCAUUAUGCAUGAACUAGUAGUUACUACAUAAUAUUAGCUUCAAGUAAAUAAUGCUGAGGGAACUUAUUGUUAAGAUUGCCUUGUUUGAAGCGGCAGCAUGUAUAUAUAUAUGCUUGCUUACAAGGUUUGUCUCUCAGAGUCCUCCUCUUUGUACUCUUUUCAGCUUAAUGAAUAAACUGUUUACUUAUUUACUUCUUUUGUUGCCAUUGAUUCUAGUAGCAUUCGACUCAUUAACUUGGAUACAUUACCUUGUAAUUAACCAAAAAGUUAUGUGUAUAUAUAUAAAGAGUGUGUGAGAGAAAAAAUAAAAUACCAAGUACCAAGUGAAAAAUGUUAAUACUAGGAUUAUUCAAAGCGAUUUCAAUGAACAGAAAUGGAAUAGUCGUCGGGUGGUUAGGACAUUUUAUCUUUAGAGAUAAAGAAGGUUGGUUCAUGUUCGGAGUUUGUGGCCACUCCUUCAAUAAUAUCGUUUUUAAAGUUUAAACUUGUAUCACAUUUUAAACACGUAAUGUAUCUUACCAUUACAUCCAACAAUAUUAACCAUUUACUCUAUUGUAUUGUAUUGUAUUCUAUUAUUAAUUAAUGAUUAUGAUAUGUAUUAAGUUUAAGAUGAAUUUUCUCAGUAAUGUAUAUCAAUGAAAUCAAAUAUUUGUAUUUAAAGUUUUAACUCCACAUUAACUUUUUUUUUAUUUUGUCCGUUUGCUGGCGAUGAUUAGGAGAUUAAUGGUUGGUAUUUGUGGUUAGUAGCUUAUAACUCGAGGGUUGAUAGUGGCCCGACUCCACUUAAAUAAAAAAUUUUACAUUUAAAUUUCUUUAUAAUUUAUAAAAUUUUAAAUUAAUAAUAAAAAAUUAUAUUUUAACUCUCUAAAAUUAAUAAAAAUGAUAAAAAUGUAGAAGUAAAUUUAUACAAUUAAUGAUAAUAAUGAUAAGAAGUUGUUUCCUAUCACAUGGAAAUUUAUGGCAUCGUCCAUUUGGUUUUAUAUUUGUCCAUUUGCUUGGUUAAGAGUUGAAAGACAAACUAUAAUUAAAUAUACAAAACCAAACGAAUUUCAAGGGUUUUCUCUUCAAUUAUUGUCGAAUUUAGCUAAUUAUUAGUAAUUUUUAUUAUUUAAUUAUAAAAAUUAUAAAAUAGUGACUUAAUUAUAAAUAUAUAUAUAUAUAUAAAAUAGCCAUCUAAUUAUUUAAUUUUUUUCUUUUUUAUCAUCACAGGAUUAAUGGUGGUAAUUUUUAUAAUUGACAUAAUAGUAACUUUAACCAUUAAUAAUUAUACAUUAUGUCAAUUUAGUCUUGAUUCUAAAAAAUUUAACCUUUGACAUUUACACAUAUAUAAUUUGAUAUUUUUAUAAUUUUAUUUUUUACUAAAAAUAAAUCAUGAAAAUAAUAAAAUAUGCAUAAAAAUAAAAAUACAGCUACCGAGUAUAUGUCUUAUUGUAGAUUUAUAACAAUUAUCUUUUCAUAAAGAUAUUUUAUUAUAAAAUAUAUAAUAAGCACUUCCCUGUAACAAAUAAAAUUGUAGUAAACAAAUGAAAUUAUUAUAAAGAAGAAUUUUCUAUUUUCAUAAUAAUAAUAAUAAUAAUAAAAGAAAAGAAAAAAGUGGUUCUAUUAAUUCACCUCACAUUUGAAAUAUGUUAUAUGUAAUAAUAUUAAUGUCUUUAUCAAUUUUGGUGGUUCAUCCUUUCCCAUCUCUAUAAAUUUGCAUGCAGAACUAAAGCAACACAUAUCAACACAAUCUGUAUAACCAUGAAAACCACAACAGCUUCGGUGUUUCUUCUUUUCAUCAUCUUCUCAAUCACACCAUUGUCCUUUUCGUUUGGUGUGGCCAACACUACAAACGCUCCUGUGCUCGACAGUGAUGGCAACGAGCUCCGCACAGGCACCCCAUACUUCGUUGUGUCGUCGAUAUGGGGUGCUGGUGGUGGGGGGCUUGCCCUAGGCAUGCCUAGAGGAAAGCCAUGCCCGGAAGUCGUUGCUCAAAGAGGAUCCGGUGACGAUGGUAUUCCGGUGAUAUUUUCUAAUUCGGACUCCAACGAUGGCGUUGUUCGCCUAUCCUCUGACAUAAACAUAGAGUUCAUUCCCCUCAGACCCAGAUUUUGCCAAACAACAACGGUGUGGAAGGUCGAUGAUUACGACCACUCAGCCGGAAAAUGGUGGGUGAUAACCGAUGGGGUUAAAGGGAACCCAGGUGCCAACACUUUGACCAGUUGGUUUAGAAUAGAGAAGGCGGGUGAUCUUGAUUACCCAUUUAAGUACUGCCCCGCUGUAUGUGGAACAUGCCCAGCCUUAUGCAACAAAAUUACGAGAGACUCAGAUGGAGAAAUGAUACGUUUGGCUCUCUCCGCUGGCCAUGGAUGGCCAUUUUUCUUUAAGAAAUUUCAAACAUCAGCCAUGGAGAUUGAACAAGUUGUUCAUAAUUAGAUUGAAAGCAAUCAUUAUGCAUGAACUAGUAGUUACUAUACAAUAUUAGCUUCAAGUAAAUAAUGCUGGGAGAACUGAUUGUUAAGAUUGCCUUGUUUGAAGCAGCAGCAUGUAUAUAUAUAUGCUUGCUUACAAGGUUUGUCUCUCAGAGUCCUUCUCUUUGUACUCUUUUCAGCUUAAUAUAUAAACUGUCUACUUAUUUACUUCUUUUAUUGCCAUUGAUUCUAGUAGUAUUAGACUCAUUAACUUGGAUACAUUGUCUUGUAAGAGAUAGCUUAUCUCUUAACAACUGUUUGGGUCAACAAAAUUAAUGUAUAUAUGAAAACGAAUAUUGAAUUUGGAUGUCCAAUCAAUUUUUUUAAUUAAUUAAUUAAAAAGAAUUGUUUUAAUUCAAAAAAUCUAAAAGAAUUUGAUAAAAAAUGUGGAAGGGCACACUUGUAUGAUGAAUAGUAGUGAUAAUAAUGAUAGAAGUCGUUUUCCUAGCACAAGUAUGGGAUUCGUCCAUUUGGUUUUAUAUUUAUCCACUUGCCUGAGUGUUUAAGAGUUAAAAAGGACAAAACUAUUAAGUAGAAAACACCAAACGAAUUGGAAGGCUUUUGUCUUCUUCAAUUAGUAUGACCUAUAUUUCUUAUUAAACUUCGUAUUUUACAUUCAAUAUCAUCAUCGCAAUCAUUUUAAUUUAUUUUCAUGAAUAAACUUUUAUGUCCCAUUUUAAUUGAAUCAUUAAAAAUUAUUAAUUGAAUUUUUUUUAAGUCAAGUGAUACUAAUUUGAUUUUUUUAAAAAAGUUGUUUGAAUUAAUUUGAUUUCGUGUCAUAAUUGACAUAAAUGGCCAUUGUGAAUGGCAACAUCAAUAGUUAUUGAGUACAGCGGCUAAAAUUUUCAGUUAAAAAAAAAAGAAUGAAAGGAAAACAAAAAGAAAAACGUGGAAAGAAAGAAAGAAAGAAAGAAUAAUAAUAAUAAUAAUAAUAAUAAAUAAAAUAGAAUUGUGGGGGCGAUGCUUUUGAACAAAUCUUGAUUUAAACUAUAUAAAGAAAAUAUGUGUUAUAUAUAUAAUUAAUUAUGUACUUAUACUUAAUAUAUUAUAUAUCUAAUGUCAUAUUUUCAUAUUCUCAGGAAGUGGUGACAUACAAAUACUUGAUUCGAUUUAUUUCUUUAGCUCCCCGUGAAUUGUAUGUUUGUAACAUUAGGGAUAGAAUUUCUUCAAUUAUCCAAUUGACUGGACGUAUUGUGUCGAUUUUUUUUUAGUAAUAUACCUAGAAAUACCCGUUGAUUCUUUAUAAACGCUGUUUCGAACACAACUGGUACACUCUAAAAUAAUUUACUUGAACAUCAUUACUCUUAGCCAUGAACCUCCUUUGAGUUUUUAAUUCACCCAACUUUUUUAUUUUCCGAUCAAAAGCAAAGAAGAAAGGAAUGAAAAGAAAAGAAAGAAAUCAAAGUUGCUAACUCAAAACCAAAUCCUGAAAAUUUUCAUUUCAAUGAAUAUAGUAAGUAAAUAUAGAUUUAUAGUAAUAGCAAAUAAUAAGAAUUAAGUAAUAUAACGAUUUUUAAUUCUAUUUAGAAUCAAUUAAAAUAUUCAAAUAAAUAUUCAAUUAAAAUAAAUUAAACUGUAUAAAUUUUAUAAUUUUAAAUUAUUAUUUUUGUAUUAAUUUAAAAACAAAAUAAAUAUUAUAUACAAUGAUUUAGUUACAGCGUGUCAGCUUGAAGUCUAAGACUUUAUAACAUAUAAAUUUAAUAGAUAAUUAAUAACUAAAAAAUUAAAUAGCAAAAGCAUAAUUGCGCCACUUCUCACCAUUUUAAUGUAUGCAACUUAUUAUAUAUUUAUAUAUAUUAUCAUUUUAUUUUAAAUAAUUUAAUUUUAUAAAUUUAGGGAUAAAUCUCAAAAUUAUACAUGAACUUUAAUUUAAUAUGCAAUUGUAUAUAUAAACUUUAAUUUGGUACAAUUAUACACGUGAUACUUUAAUUGUGGUUUAAAUACUCACUUGAAACUUUAGUUUUGAUUUAAUAAUGCAUAUUUAAAUAAAUAAAUACAUCAAUUUUUUUAUAUUGGGUAAAUAUAAUUAUUUAUGUAUGCAAUAUAUAACAUAAAAUGAUGUUAUAUCAAUAAUUGUGUUAAUAAUUUUCAAGAAUUGGAUCAAAUCAAAAUUUCAUGUAUAAAAUUGAACAAAAUCAAAGUUAAUGUAUACAAUUGCACAUUAAACCAUAAUUCAUGUAUAUUUUUUUGUAUAUAUCCCAUAAAUUUAUUUCAUUAACUUUUUACCUAUAUCAUAUAUAGAGUUGUUCGUGAACCGAGCCAAGGAAUGCCUGCUCGAAAAAAUGAGAGGGUUUGGCAAAAAAAUAUAUGCCUAAAAAAUGGGCUUGGAUAAAAAGACAAGGCCCGUUUAGAAAAUGAACCGGCAUUGAGUAGGGUUUUUUUGUCCGGGCUCAGCCUAACCCGAAUUUUCAAUUAAAAAAAACCUUGUUGUUUUUGCUGCUAUUUUUCCAUAUCUUGGUGUUGUUUUCUCACUUUUUGCCGCUAUUUUACUACCAUUUCACUAUUAUGUUACUACUAUUUUUUUUAAUGUUUGGAUAUAGUAUAAUAAUUGUUUUAUUGUUAAUUUUAUCACUAUUUUAGAGACAUUUGUUUGUUAUGUUGUACUUAUUUUAGUUUUUAUUUAAGUAUAAAAAAAUUUAAAAUUUAUUUUCAAUUUAUUGAUAAACAUGUAAUUUAAUAUUUUCAGUGUAUUUAUUGUAUUAUAUUUGUUAAAUUUAUAUAAAAUUAAAAUUAAAAAAAUAUGGACCGAGAUGGGAGUUUAACAAAAAUUUAGGCCCAUUUUUCAAGUCGGGCCGAUCUCAAACCUAACAAUCGGACUUAAAAUUUUGUUAGAGCUCGGCCCAUCCCAUGAACAACUCUAAUUAUAUAUAUAUGUCAUUCUCUAAUAAUAAUAAUAAUAAUAAUAAUAAUAAGUGGAUAACAUAAAACUAGUAGUAAAGAGUAAGAAGACAAAGAAGAAUUAAGUGGAUAACAUAAAACGUGCGAAAACAUUUAUCUUCAAUUCUGACACAUAAAGCUAGUAUUUUUGGGUAAAGUAUAGAAAUGGUGAUUAAAUUAUUGUUGAUGUUCUAUUUUAAUUUUUAAUUUUUCUAUUUUAGUUAUUAAAUUAUUUGAAAUUAAAUUUUUUGGUUAUCAAAGGUUAACAGUAGUUUGAAAUUUAACAGAAAUAUUGAUGUGAACUUUUCUUAUUGAUUUAAUAAUAAAUUUAGCCUUCUAAUAUUUAUAUAUUCUAUUAAUUUGAUACUAAAUAUAAAAAUUUAACAAAUUUAACCUUCAAUAUUUACAAAUUUUGUUAUUUUAAUUCAAAUUCUAAAAAAAAUUUAAUAAAUUUAACCCUCAACAUUAAAAAAUUUGAUAAAUUUCAAUUUUUAAAAUUUUGUAAAUUCCUAAAAUAUAAAGCAUCAUUCUCCACCUCAUAGGAUUCCAUGUAAAUGGAUUUUCUUGAAUUCUUUACCAAGUUGUCUUGAGUUUAAUUUCUUCUUAUUUAGUUUGUGGAAUAAAUGGCAUAUAGUUAGAUGUCACUGCAGCUGACAAUGAAAGGUUUGACAAAGUUGAUAAAUUCAGAGCUUUUGAUGCUGAGCUUCAAAUCAGUCUUGCCUCCACUCACCCAAGAAAUCAACUUUACAAUUUUUAUUAAGUCUUAACUAGAUUAAUAUGAGUAUUGUUAUCAAUAUAGGAGAAAGUGAAUUUUAGUGCGUUGAAACACAUUAUCUUCUUAUUGAUGAAUUGAGGAGGGGCUAUGAAUAGUUUUAAAUAUUAUAUUAAAAAAGCAGAGAUAAUUGAAACCUACAAUAAUAUUGUUCAAAAAAAUUACCUAAAAACACGAAAUCUUACUCCCUGAAUUUUCUAGAAACACAAAUAUUUCUCCCUGCCUUUGAUGGUGUAUACAUGCAUGGCCAUGUGUGAGCUCCUGCAUUUUAACUAAUCAACACAGAUAAUACCCUCAAUGAGACAUUAAAAUUAACUUUUAUUUUUGUUUUUUCAUAAAUUUUAUAAUUUUGUAUUUCAAUGAAAAAAUCUAAAUCUAAGUUGAUCCGAGUCCAAAAAAAAAUCUGAAGCUGUAAAAAGUUUGAUCUGAGGCUGCUCAUUUGCCACCUCUAAUAACCAUUUGAUAGAGGUUUAAUAUAAAGGAAUUUAGAUUUUAGGAAUUUAUAAAAUUUUUAAAAUUAAUUUUUUAUUUGUAAAUACUAAGGGAUAAAUCUAUUGAAGUUUUUAAAAUUUGAACUGAAAUGUCAAAAUUUGUAAACAUUGAAGGCUAAAUUUGUUUAUUUUUUCUAUUUAAGACCAAUCUGAUAGAAUGUGUACACAUUAGAAGACUAAAUUUAUUAUUAGACCAAUAAAAAAAUGCCCAACUUAACGCUUUCUCAAAUUUCAAACCGAUGUUAAUAUUCAAUGACCAAAAUUUUUUAUUUCAAAUAGUUUAGUGACCAGAAUAGAAAAAAAAUUAAAAGUUUGAUGACCAAAAUAGAACGCGGAUAAUAAUUUAAUGAUAUUUUUAUACUUUAUCUGUUUUUUAUGAUUAUUUAUACAUAUCAAGUGGAGCUAAUUUAGGGAAAAGAAUCAAUGGUUAAGGUUGUUGUUGAUACUUAAUGAUCAGGGUCCAAAUUUUGCUAAUGUAAUUUUCCUUAUCAUAAUUUGUAUCUUAAUUUUGUUACCAAAAAAAUAUUAGUAAUAAAUAAUAUAUGCUCGAGAAAUGUACGUAUGAUUGAUUUAAACAAUACAUGUUGGAGUAAUUUACAUAUGGAUUUAAAAUAAAUUUUAAAAAUAAAAUAAAAUUUUAAAAAUCCAAAAGUAUUUUUUCUUUUAAAAAAAUUUAAAAAUAAUUUUUAAAUUAUUUACAUGAUUGAUUUAAAGGAUUUCUUUCUAUUAAUUAUUUUUAUAUUAAAUUUAUUUUCCUUUAUGUAUAACAUUUAAAGGGUUUGUAUAUAUGCUAACUCGCGAGUCAAUUAAAAUUUGUAUUAUAUUCAUUGAAUUUUUUUAAAAUAUAUAUUUUAUUAAUUUAUUUAUUUAUUUGAGACCCAUGAUAAACUUGUAUUUAAAGUUAUUGGUGCACACUAUAAAUUCAUAUAUUGAAAAUGAUAGGUGCUAAAAGUAACAUGUUUUAGUCUCAUUCUUAAUGUGUUUUUGGAUGAUUAUUCGAUAUAAAAUGGUUAAUUUUAUGCUACUAAACUUUUCAAUUUACGUUCUACACUUAAUAGAGCAUUUAGGAGCAAAAGAAGCGAAAAACGAGCGAAAAUAAAAAAAAUAGGAGCAAGUCUCAAAAGCCACACAGGCUGAGCCAUUCCACACGGGUUGGACACAUAACCGAGUGAGCCACACGACCAUGUGCUAGACUGUGUGGAAAUCGCAAAUUACACUCCAAACGGCGUGAAAACACGUUAAUUUUAAGGUUUUUUAAGCAUUUUAAUACCUAUACAUGACAAAGAUAAGAAGAGGGGAGAGAGUCGUCAGAAAAUAUUAAAGAAAACAACUUAAAAAACACCAUUGAAGCUAACUUUGAAGCAAAUUUUCAUCAAGAUUGAAGAUCUCAUUUUGAUUUUUUUGAAGUUUAUUAUGAGUUUCUUUAUUUAUUGUAGUUAUACUGUCUUUAGGAUGUUUUUAUUUGCUAUCAUGAACGAAUUUUCUAAAUACCUAGGGAGAUGAAUCCUAUCAUGAAUUAUGUUAUUUGAUUUCUAUUUUUACGUAAUAAAGACUUAGAUCUUAUUCUCAAUUAUGUGUGCUUAAUUCUUGGUUUAAUAUUUCUAGACUAUUAAUCAAUGUUUGAUGUGCUUAAAUCAGAGGAGGAAUAAACCCUAUUUAAGAGUAGAUCUAGCGUAAAUGAGUGGAGUUGCAUGCAAUCCUAGAAAUAGGACAACAUAAAUCUACCGUAAUAGAUCCAAAUCUAAUAGGGGAAUCUAUAGAUCGAGUUAAUACGAUGAUAGAGGUUUUAAUUAGAAAUAAAUUUCAGUUAAUUAACCUAGAGUCAGUUACUCUUAGUCUUGAAGAGAUAUAUUAGCAUAAUUUAGGGAUUUUUACAGAUCAAUAUUCUAAGUGACGAAGUUGUGUAAUAUAGAUUGAUAAUGACAUAUGAAGUCUAGGUAGAUUCUUUCCUAGGUAUUGUCUCGCUCUUGGUUAUUAUUUGAUUAUUUUCUUGAUUUGUGCUUUGUUGUGUUAUUUAGUUAACUAAUUUAGUUAAUUUUAGUUCCAACCAAUCACUCCAAUUUAUCAGUUAAAUAAUAGAAAAGACGGUAAUUACUGGUACUUUUAGUCUUUGUGAAAACGAUAUCUUUGCUCACUAUAACUAUACUAUUAAUUGAUGUGCACUUGUCUGAGUUAGAUUUUUAGUUGGUUUACGACUGCAAUCAAAAAACUCAUUAAGUUAGCACAAACUAAGUUAAUUAUUCGUUGGUUGCUUUAUUUUUUUUCCUGAAGUUUCGAUUUCAUCUUUCAUUAUGUACAACAAUUUUGGUAUAAAAAUAUCAAAUUCUCGACACUUAAUAUAUACCUUUGAAAUAUAAACACAUGCAUCAAUUUUUUUAGGUUCCUCACAACUUACUUGUCCAAAAUUCUUGUAUCUUUCAGUUCUCCUGAUUGAAUCAAAAUUUGACUUUGUAAUUAUUUUUUAAGGACCUCAAACUAUCAAUUUAUAGUAUAAAUUUUCAAUAGCUUUCAUUCUUUACAAAUUGGUCCCUAAUUAAUCAACAAUGGUAUUAAAGCUUAAGCUUAGGGUCCCGUUGUUUCACUGAAAAUGGCUUUCGAAAAAUAAUUUCUAGAAAAUGACUUACUUUCCUAGAAAAGUUAAUAUUUUCUGAUGUUUGGAUGAAUCAGUGUAAAAUAUUUUAUAUUGUUUGACAAAUUUCUUAAAAAUAUUUCAUAAAAGCUGUUUUCAAUGAAACAAACAUGCAUUUGAGAUUUUCUUAUCUUUUCAUUGUUUAAUUAAGUUUAUCUUAUAUCUAUAAAUUUAUAUUUUACAUUUUUUUGCAUAUAAUAAAAAUAUAUAUUUUUUAAUUCAGGUUCACUACCAUGUCACUUUUUAGUUACAUGACUACCAAGUGAGUAUUUUUUUUAUUUAAAAAUGUGACAUCAACAAAAUUGACAAAAAAAAAAUUUAGCAAUGUCAACAAUUGGACUUGAUUUUCAAAUCUGAAAAGUAGAGGGACUAAAUUCUUGAAAAUAAAAGUAUAGAGACUAAAUUGAAAAUUUGUGAAGAAUACAUAGACUUAUCACAUUUUUUAACUUUUAUACUACAAAAUAUUUAUCAUUAAUAUAUUUAUAAUUAUAAUAAAUAUUUAUUAUUAAAAUAUUAAUAUUAAAUAUUUUCAAUAAGAAGAAUAUUAUUUAAAAUUAUUUUUUUUAAUUUUUUAUUAAAAUAAAAUUGAAAUAUUAAAUAAUUUAUUAAAAUAAUUAAUUUUAUUAAUAAUUAAUUUUAUGACUAAAUAUAAAUAAUUAAAUAUGUGUGUUUAAUAAUAUUGAAAUAUAUAAUAUUUUAUAUUAAUAUUUUAAAUAUUUUUAAAAAUAAAAAUAAAAUUUAUUUUCAAUAUAAUAAUAUUAAUAUUGAUUUAAAUGAAUUUUUAUAUAAAAAUAAAAUUACCUAUAGAUGAGCUCUUUUCCAGAAAAUGACUUACACUUUUCAAAAGGAUAAGUCAUUUUAUAGGAAAAAGAGUUCAAUUUUACAUUGACCUGUAAGUCAUUUUCCGAUGACCAAAAUGUUUUCUGUAAAAUAAACAUAAGAAAAUGAAGAAAAUAUUUUCCGUAAAACCUUUUACAUGUAAACAAACGGACCCUUAAUUCAAGCUUGUUCUAACAUAACCCACUUCACUAUUAGCAUGACUCUUCCUUAUACUAUGUUUAACCAUUAACCCUUCUCAUGAUUUCUAACAAAAAUUCUCUAAGUUCUCUUUAAUGGAAACUUCUAUUAGCUUCAACAAUAAGAAAUUCUAACCAUUGGGUUGGUUGUAUCAAGUUUCAUAGUUUAAAAAACUAUAAAAAAAUUAUUUAGAAAACAAUUUGUUUACCUUUGAUGGCCUUGAUGGAGAACAACUUGGUUUCUUCUUCUACUUAGUUUAAAGAAUGCAUGAAGAAGAAGAAGAUUUCCCCUCUCCCUCUAUCUUAAAUAUAUAUAUAAAUAACCUAUUAAUCAAGGUAAUUAACUCACUAAUUAAUCUUAAUUAGUUAUGAUCUAAUGGCCAUAAACUUACCAUAAGAAAAUUAGUGGAAAUGUGUGGCAUUGAUAAUGGUUUGCCAAUAAUCAAACUUCGGGCAUGGUAAUAUUGCAAUCAGGUCCUUGGUUUAAUUACACUUUAAGUACUUGCUAAAUUCUCUAAUCAAUUCCCACUAGUUGGAUCACUUGAACAAUUGGGUCCAUGUAUUAUAGUUACAACUUAUCUAAUUUAAUCAAUUAAUGAUUUGACUUUAUAAUUUCAUGUGCAACACACAAACUCCUCCGGUAAAUUCUCAAGCUAGCUUUAUUUAAAAAUUUGGCCUCAAAACCAGCUUUCCAAAUGUUCAUGAAAAUUGAGUUGUUACAUUAUGGUAUUUGUUUUGUUCAGCUUAUUUGUCAAGCUCUAUUCCUUUGAACUUAUGUUCGUUGACUUUGGUGUUGCUUAAAUGAAAAUGUGGUGAACAAUAUUAUGGAUAGGAGGAGUGUAUGAUUGAGUAUGUGUAACACCCCUAACCCACAUCCUUCGCCAAAUUAAAGUGACAGAGUGUUAUUAUUCAAAACAGAACAUUCCAUGACAACACAUAAACAAUUAUGCAAAUUAUCACAAUCAUUAAUUAACCAUAUUAAAAUAUAACAUAAGUAUCCAUACGACCUUUAAAUCGAGCUUAUAUGGCCUUAAAAAUAGCUUGGGAUCAAUCUAGGAUCAAUUUGGAACAUAACAUAAAUUUUAAGAAAAAUCUAAAAAUUUUGGGAAACAUGGGUCACACAACCGUAUGUCCAGGCCGUGUGACAUAGCCCAGACCUUGUGGGAAUUCAAAAUCAGGACACUCAAUCAUGUCCUAGCCCGUAUGUCUACCUGUGUGAAUAUUUGAAAUAGGGUCCCACAGUCGUGUCGCGGCCAUGUGCUAAACCGUGUAUAUAUUCAAAUUAUGAACACAUGGCCGUGUCGCAAGCCAUGUGCUAGACCGUGCUCAAAACUAUUUUGAGACACACAGCUGUGCCUUAGGCUGUGUGAAAUUUUCACUUUAGACAACGACACACAGCCGUGUGCCAGACCAUGUACACCAAAAUGUACCUUAAAAAUCAAAUUUACCAAAACAUGUUUACUUAGGCAUCAAGCAACCUAAUUACCAUCAAUCAAACUCAUUCAAAACACAAUUAAACAGGUUCAAAACAUCCAUCCUAAGUGCCUAGCCAUUGUGCCCUCAUUGACAUCAUAAUUCAAUAAUCAAAUCAAUCACAUUUAAACCAAGAUUUAAACAUUCAAAUUAUAAAAUCAUCAUUAACCAUUCAUACCAAAACACUGAUCAUUUCAAGUCAUAAACACCUAGCAAUAUUCACAUACUUUAUAAAGCUUAACUACCAAUACCAAAUAAGAUCCAUACACACAUACAUACCAAACAAAACACAUAUUCACAAGUAUCAUUCAAGAUUUACAACUUUACAUGUAAUUAACAUAAUUUCAAGUCAAUUAUUACAUGUCAUACAACCCAAAACAAACACUAAACAAACUACCAAUAGUUUCUCGAAUAGUGUGAUUCUUGAAAUCAAAUUGAUCACCCGAAGCGUCAAAAAUAAAUCUACAAGAAAGCAUUGGAAGAGACACAAGAGUAAGCUUACUUAAGCUUAGUAAUUUCCAUGGAUUUAAACAAUCAACUUACCGGAUAAACUUAUCUAAUAUAGAGUAUAGAAAAGUCAUAAAUCAUAAUCAUGUCAUCCAUAAUCAGAUCACGAGUGAGUCUUAAACUUAAAUAUGAAUGAAUUAAUUCAAUCAAUUACAUUAUAUCACUAAAUUAUACCCGAUGAACGUUGCAAUGGAUUUGGAUACACAGUUAACCAACCAAACACUCCAAAUCACUCAAAUGAGCUAGCCAUCUGAAAGUACACAUGGGCACCAAGUGCCAAGCCCAUAGGCUAACAUCCCUCCGAAACACACCUUGUCACCAAGUGCCAAGCCCGUAAGCUUUACAUCUGCCCCAGAAACACACCUGAAGCACUGCAAUAUAACGUAAUAGUUCGCAACAAAUGUUGAACUUCAAUAUAUUCAAUAAACAUGAAUAAGAUCAGAAUCAUCAUCUCCACAUCCACCAAUCUCGUAAAGCGCACGAUAUAACUUAUUGACAUGCCAAUUGUAUCCUAUCAUACAUUCAUCGGCUCACAUAUUUGUCAUUUAACAACAUUUAAUACAAUUUCUUUCCCAAAUCAUUUCACUUACCACAAUUCAAUACUUCCAUGUCAUUUAAUAAUUUCAAUCCACAAGUAAUUAAAUAUUUAAAUUAUACUAAAAUUAAACUGUACAAACUCACUAGGGCCAAAUUGCAGAAACAACAAAAGUUCAGGGACUAAUCAACAACCUUCCCUUUUUCCACAAUUAUCAACUUGAUCUUGAUCUAUAAUAUAAUUUAUUUCAAUUAUUAGCCUCAAUUUUCAUAUUCUAAUCAUUUCAAAACAUAUGAUCUCUUAUUUAUAAAUUUACACAUUUAUCCCAAAUUUUUACAUAUUAUACAAUUUAAUCCCUAUGACCAAAUCAAGCUUAGUUCUACAAUUAAAUUCUCAAUCCAUAGAACUAAAUUUUAACCACAUCCAAAACAAUCCAUAUAUGCUAAAAUUUUCAAGAGUAACAUGUCUAUUUCAGUUAAAUCACUAAACAUCAAAUUUUGUAAAAAUCACUUACAAACUCAAUACAUAUGGUCACCAAGCUUCAACCCAAACUAUUUACUACUACAAAUCUUCGAAAAUUUCAAUACAUAAUUUCUAUACUUUGAUAACUUCACAAAUAAACUCCAAAACUAGCUAAAUUCCAUUAUCAAUAGCUCAAAACUUAAAAUUUGAUGAUGAAUAAACCAAGAAAAUACUUACAUGCAUUAAAAACUAACAAAAACCAAGAUCCAAGCCUUAGAACAAUGGUGUUUCGGCCAAACCUAAGAAAAAUAAAGAAGAUGACCACUACCCCACUUUUGUUUUACUUUCCUUUUAUUAUUAUAAUAAUCUUUAUUUAUGAAAUUAUAACAUUAUAAAACACCAAUUUAAUUUUUUUUCUCUCUUUACCGCCCAUAUUAACUAACUAUGGGCUAAUGGCAACAUAACCUCCCUUAGUUUACUAAUUUAAGCUAUUAUAUUAAAAUAAAUCUAUAAUAAGCAACUUUUCCACCUAUUACAUAUUAAUCUUUUUUCUUUAAUCAAUUCACUAUACGUUAAAUUUUCUAAACCAAAACUUAAUACGACACUGAUGACUUUGUAAAUAUUAAAUAAUUAAUAAUUCUAGACUGACACGUCGAAAGUGUAGUCCUAAAACUAUUAUUUUCGACACCACUGGAAAUCGAACUGUUAUAGUAUGAUUCUACCUCUUAGGGGGAGACGUAUUCUAGUUUCCUUUGACUUGUUUAGAUGAUGUGUUAAUCAUUUGCUACUGGUUUUGUCAAAAUGCCAAAUGGUGAGAUUGUUUCAAACUUUGUUCAUGUUCGAACAUUAGAUUAAACAAUGCUUAAUUUGAUGCAUUCAAAGAAUUUAUGUUGGCAUGUUUGACUUUAUAAUGAAAUGGCUUAUGAUUUAAUCUCGUUGAGUAGCAAAUGGGGAAGUGAUUUUGUGUUAUAACAUGUGAUGAUCAUUAUCUUUCAAUCAACUACCUUGAAGAAGAAUGGGAGGAGUUUGAACUUUUGUGGACUUUCGUAAUAUUUGAAGCUGCUAAGAUACUUGUUUAUAAAGACUUUUAUGAUAUAACUAAUCAAAAUAAUUCAUGUCAGAAUUUUUGGAGUUUUAAACUUAUGAAGACUCUAGUAUUGGCCUAUAAAUAGGCAUAAUUACCGCACAUUGAAAAUAGGCUUUUGGAGGGUUUAAGUUGGAUGCUUUGGUGAAUUUUUCCUGUGUUUUAUACAACACUCUUUUUUAAGUUUUUAUUGGGGGAUAUUUGCUUGAUUGUAAGUGAGAUAUUUUGGAGAGAGUGAUUUGUAAUAAUUUAGGUUCAAUAUUGAAGUUGCAAAUAACUACAAGGUAAUGGUAAUUUGGACUCUAGUCAAUAGUUAAUCAAGACGAAUUGUAAAUAAAAAUUAUUUUUUAAGUGAAACUUUACAGAAUAAAACUAGUGAACUCAAACUACGCUAACAAAUAUUAUAUACUAUCUUUCCUUACUUUACUCGUUGCUUUACCUUAUUUUAAAAUUGCUUUGUCAUAAAUGUAUUAUGUUUGACCCUUUCCGAUCGAAAUAAAAAAAUGAGAUUGAAAUUGUGAUAAAGCUAAAAAAAAGUUACAACAAAUAUGAUUAAUAUUAUUUUUAUAUAUACUUACUAAAAUUUAAAAAGGAAUUACAUUUAUCGAAUAUUAUUUUAUUUAAUAAAUAUAAUUAAUAUAUUUUAUAUAAAAUUUAAACUUUUUAUUAUUUGUUAGCUAAAUUUUAUUAUUUUUAUUUUCUUUAUGAAUAAAAUUAAUUUUCCUAAAAUUUGAGAUAAAAAAAUGUUAUAUAGAAAAUUAAAUUAGUAAAAAGUGCAGUUCAUACUUUAUAAUUAUUAUAAAUGAAAAAAUAUUAUAAAAGAUAAAUAUUAAACAUAAAAAAAUCAAUUCUAAAAUAAACUUAACUAUUAUAAUAAAAUAUUUUUAUAUAAAAAAGAAAUUAUAGAAAAGACUUACUGAUUAUAUUUCCAAUUUUCGACAUUCAUAAAAAAAAAGUGGUCCUAAUAAUUUAUUUAUACAAAAAAAAAAGUGGUCCUAUUAAUUAACCUCACAUUUGAAAUGUGUUAUAUGUAAUAAUAUUAAUAUCUUUAUCAAUUUUGGAGGUUCAUCCUUUCCCAUCUCUAUAAAUUCGCAUGGAGAAAUAAAGCAAUACAUCAACACAAUCUGUAUAACCAUGAAAACCACAACAGCUUCAGUGUUUCUUCUUUUCAUCAUCUUCUCAGUCACACCAUCAUCCUUUUUGUUUGGUGUAGCCAACGCUACAAACGAACCUGUACUCGACUUUGAUGGCAACGAGGUUCAAACAGGCACCCCAUAUUACGUUGUGUCGUACAUAUGGGGUGCUGGUGGUGGGGGGCUUGACCUAGGCAGGCCUAGUGGAAACCCAUGCCCGGAAGUCGUUGCUCAAAGAGGAUCCGGUGACAAUGGUAUUCCGGUGAUAUUUUCUAAUUCGGACUCCAACGAUGGCGUUGUUCGCCUAUCCUCUGACAUAAACAUAGAGUUCAUUUCCCUCAGACCCAAACUUUGCCGAACAACAACAGUGUGGAAGGUCGAUGAUUACGACCAUUCAGCCGGAAAAUGGUGGGUGAUAACCGAUGGGGUUAAAGGGAACCCAGGUGCCAACACUUUGACCAGUUGGUUUAGAAUAGAGAAGGUGGGUACUGAUUUUCAAUAUUACACAUUUAAGUACUGCCCCGCAGUAUGUGGAACAUGCCCAGCCUUAUGCAACCAAAUUGUGAGAGACUUUGAUGGAGAAAUGGUACGUUUGGCUCUCACCACUGGCCAUGGAUGGCCAUUUAUCUUUAAGAAAGUUGGAAAAUCAGCCAUGGAGAUUGAACAAGUUGUUCAUAAUUAGAUUGAAAGCAAUCAUUAUGCAUGAACUAGUAGUUACUACAUAAUAUUAGCUUCAAGUAAAUAAUGCUGAGGGAACUUAUUGUUAAGAUUGCCUUGUUUGAAGCGGCAGCAUGUAUAUAUAUAUGCUUGCUUACAAGGUUUGUCUCUCAGAGUCCUCCUCUUUGUACUCUUUUCAGCUUAAUGAAUAAACUGUUUACUUAUUUACUUCUUUUGUUGCCAUUGAUUCUAGUAGCAUUCGACUCAUUAACUUGGAUACAUUACCUUGUAAUUAACCAAAAAGUUAUGUGUAUAUAUAUAAAGAGUGUGUGAGAGAAAAAAUAGAAUACCAAGUACCAAGUGAAAAAUGUUAAUACUAGGAUUAUUCAAAGCGAUUUCAAUGAACAGAAAUGGAAUAGUCGUCGGGUGGUUAGGGCAUUUUAUCUUUAGAGAUAAAGAAGGUUGGUUCAUGUUCGGAGUUUGUGGCUACUCCUUCAAUAAUAUCGUUUUUAAAGUUUAAACUUGUAUCACAUUUUAAACACGUAAUGUAUCUUACCAUUACAUCCAACAAUAUUAACCAUUUACUCUAUUGUAUUGUAUUGUAUUCUAUUAUUAAUUAAUGAUUAUGAUAUGUAUUAAGUUUAAGAUGAAUUUUCUCAGUAAUAUAUAUCAAUGGAAUCAAAUAUUUGUAUUUAAAGUUUUAACUCCACAUUAACUUUUUCUUUAUUUUGUCCGUUUGCUGGCGAUGAUUAGGAGAUUAAUGGUUGGUAUUUGUGGUUAGUAGGUUAUAACUCAAUAGUGAACUCGAGGGUUGAUAGUGGCCCGACUCCACUUAAAUAAAAAAUUUUACAUUUAAAUCUCUUUAUAAUUUAUAAAAUUUUAAAUUAAUAAUAAAAAAAUUAUAUUUUAACUCUCUAAAAUUAAUAAAAAUGAUAAAAAUGUAGAAGUAAAUUUAUACAAUUAAUGAUAAUAAUGAUAAGAAGUUGUUUCCUGUCACAUGGAAAUUUAUGGCAUCGUCCAUUUGGUUUUAUAUUUGUCCAUUUGCUUGGUUAAGAGUUGAAAGACAAACUAUAAUUAAGUAUACAAAACCAAACGAAUUUCAAGGGUUUUCUCUUCAAUUAUUGUCGAAUUUAGCUAAUUAUUAGUAAUUUUUAUUAUUUAAUUAUAAAAAUUAUAAAAUAAUGACUUAAUUAUAAGAAUUAUAAAAUAGUGACUUAAUUAUAAAAAUAUAUAUAAAUAGCCAUCUAAUUAUUUAAUUUUUUUUCUUUUUUAUCAUCACCGGAUUAAUGGUGGUAAUUUUUAUAAUUGACAUAAUAGUAACUUUAACCAUUAAUAAUUAUACAUUAUGUCAAUUUAGUCUUGAUUCUAAAAAAUUUAACCUUUGACAUUUACACAUAUAUAAUUUGACAUUUUUAUAAUUUUAUUUUUUACUAAAAAUAAAUCAUGAAAAUAAUAAAAUAUGCAUAAAAAUAAAAAUACAGCUACCGAGUAUAUGUCUUAAUGUAGAUUUAUAACAAUUAUCUUUUCAUAAAGAUAUUUUAUUAUAAAAUAUAUAAUAAGCACUUCCCUGUAACAAAUAAAAUUGUAGUAAACAAAUGAAAUUAUUAUAAAGAAGAAUUUUCUAUUUUCAUAAUAAUAAUAAUAAUAAUAAUAAUAAAAGAAAAGAAAAAAGUGGUUCUAUUAAUUCACCUCACAUUUGAAAUGUGUUAUAUGUAAUAAUAUUAAUGUCUUUAUCAAUUUUGGUGGUUCAUCCUUUCCCAUCUCUAUAAACACUACACCAGAAUAGGUUUUUAGCGGCGUUUUUUAGGCCUUUAGCGACGCUUAUUAACGCCACUAAAUCUAUUUCCGGCACUUACAAAAAAAAGCCGCUAAAGAUCAUGUUCUUUAGCGGCGCUUAGGAAAAAACGCCGCAAAAAAUCAUGUUCUUUAGCGGCGCUUAGAAAAAAACGCCGCUAAAGAUCAUGUUCUUUAACGGCGCUUAGAAAAAAACGCCGCUAAAGAUCAUGUUCUUUAGCGGCGCUUUGGAAGAAAACACCUCUAAAAGUAAUGUUCUAUAGCGGCGCUUGUUCAAAAACGCCGCUAAAAGUAGUGUUCUUUAGCGUCGCUUGUUUCACAAACGCCACUGUUUUGAUAUGACUUUUAGCGGCGCUUUUUUAAAAAAUGUCACUAAUUUUGGGAUUUUUUUAAAAUAAAAUUUUCUGUUUUUUUCAGCCCUCCUGCAACAACAAAUCAAAAGCAACCAGAUCUAAACUAACCAAAAAUAAUAAAUUUAUAUAAUAUUUCAAAUUAAAUGAAUAAAAUAAUAUUAAUUGAUAUAAAUAAAAGUGAAUUUCAGACUUUUCUUUACAAAAACGUUAAAAGUAUUUAUGCAACAUACACUAUGACGGCGGAAGUUGCGACUGCUGAAACAUCUUCAUCAUAAUCUAAAGCUGCUGUUGAAGUUCGUCGUACUUUUUGCUCUACUUUGCUUCUCUCGAUGCCGCAUCUUUUUGAAGCCGUAGCUGUAGUUCUUCACAUUUCUUUUGAACCUCUGCUUCUAUCGCUGCUUAUCUCGCUACGGCAUCUGCUUCCCUCACUGCUGCCUCUGAUUUAAGUUGUUGCUGAAGUUCUUCAUAUUUCCUUUGAACCUCAAAUGUGGUCGCUUGCAUCUGAGUCAUCUAGUCUUUUAACCUCUGAACUUCAGCUUGAGACUGACUCCCCGAAGCCAUGUAUUGGUGCGAGCUGGAUCCAAAAUAUUGGGUUGGGCUGAUAAAAGAUCCUUGAAAUCGAACCCGACCAUACUUUUCAGGACCCAAAACUUUAGUAAUAAUCCGGUUAUCAAUGUCUUCAAGAUGAAUAGAACUAUCACUAGAAGCAAUCGUUUCGUACUCUGUCUUUUUUUCCUUCAGUUUUUCCUAAUAAAUAAAUCACAUAGUUAGGAACGCAAUAUAUAGUAAAAAAAACAAAUGCAAUAUAACAAUAGUCGCAUUACAAGCAAUGAAUUAAACCAUUAGAAAAUAAACACUAUAAAUAACUAAAACAAGUGAAAUCGUAUUAAGUAAACGUACCAUAAUUUCACCAGCUUCAGGAGUCAUAGCAGAUCCAUCUUUCUUCUUAUGUGUAAUUUCAAAAAGUUGAAGGCGUCCAACUUUUUGAUCGGACGACCGUUCCUACAACACUCUUUUUUAAGUUUUUAUUGGGGGAUAUUUGCUUGAUGUAAGUGAGAUAUUUUGGAGAGAGUGAUUUGUAAUAAUUUAGGUUCAAUAUUGAAGUUGCAAAUAACUAUAAGGUAAUGGUAAUUUAGACUUUAGUCAAUAGUUAAUCAAGACGAAUUGUAAAUAAAAAUUAUUUUUUAAGCGAAACUCUACAGAAUAAAACUAGUGAACUCAAACUACUGAACUCAAACUACGCUAACAAAUAUUACAUAUUAUCUUUCCUUACUUUACUUGUUGCUUUACCUUAUUUUAAAAUUGUUUUGUCAUAAAUGUAUUAUGUUUGAACCUUUCCGAUCGAAAUAAAAAAAAUGAGAUUGAAAUUGUGAUAAAGCUAAAAAAAGGUUACAACAAAUAUGAUUAAUAUUAUUUUUAUAUAUACUUAAUAAAAGUUAAAAAGGGAAUUACAUUUAUUGAAUAUUAUUUUAUUUAAUAAAAUAUAAUUACUAUAUUUUAUAUAAAAUUUAAAUAUUUUAUUGUUUGUUAGUUAAAUUUUAUUUUUUUUUAUUUUCUUUAUGAAUAAAAUUAAUUUUCCUAAAAUUUGAGAUAAAAAAUGUUAUAUAGAAAAUUAAAUUAGUAAAAAGUUAAAAAAAUCAAUUCUAAAAUAAACUUAACUAUUAUAAUAAAAUAUUUUUAUAUAAAAAAAAAGAAAUUAUAGAAAAGACUUAUUGAAUAUAUUUCCUAUUUUCGACAUUCAUAAAAAAAAAAAAGUGGUCCUAAUAAUUUUUUUAUACAAAACAAAAAAAAGUGGUCCUAUUAAUUUACCUCACAUUUGAAAUGUGUUAUAUGUAAUAAUAUUAAUAUCUUUAUCAAUUUUGGAGGUUCAUCCUUUCCCAUCUCUAUAAAUUUGCAUGCAGAACUAAAGCAACACAUAUCAACACAAUCUGUAUAACCAUGAAAACCACAACAGCUUCGGUGUUUCUUCUUUUCAUCAUCUUCUCAAUCACACCAUUGUCCUUUUCGUUUGGUGUGGCCAACACUUCAAACGCUCCUGUGCUCGACAGUGAUGGCAACGAGCUCCGCACAGGCACCCCAUACUUCGUUGUGUCGUCGAUAUGGGGUGCUGGUGGUGGGGGGCUUGCCCUAGGCAUGCCUAGAGGAAAGCCAUGCCCGGAAGUCGUUGCUCAAAGAGGAUCUGGUGACGAUGGUAUUCCGGUGAUAUUUUCUAAUUCGGACUCCAACGAUGGCGUUGUUCGCCUAUCCUCUGACAUAAACAUAGAGUUCAUUCCCCUCAGACCCAGAUUUUGCCAAACAACAACGGUGUGGAAGGUCGAUGAUUACGACCACUCAGCCGGAAAAUGGUGGGUGAUAACCGAUGGGGUUAAAGGGAACCCAGGUGCCAACACUUUGACCAGUUGGUUUAGAAUAGAGAAGGCGAGUCAUCUUGAUUACACAUUUAAGUACUGCCCCGCAGUAUGUGGAACAUGCCCGGCUUUAUGCAACAAAAUUGCGAGAGACUUAGAUGGAGAAAUGAUGCGUUUGGCUCUCUCCACUGACCAUGGAUGGCCAUUUUUCUUUAAGAAACUUCAAACAUCAGCCAUGGAGAUUGAACAAGUUGUUCAUAAUUAGAUUGAAAGCAAUCAUUAUGCAUGAACUAGUAGUUACUAUACAAUAUUAGCUUCAAGUAAAUAAUGCUGAGAGAACUGAUUGUUAAGAUUGCCUUGUUUGAAGCAGAAGCAUGCAUAUAUAUAUGCUUGCCUACAAGGUUUGUCUCUCAGAAUCCUCUUUGUACUCUUUUCAGCUUAAUAUAUAAACUGUCUACUUAUUUACUUCUUUUAUUAAUGUCAUUGAUUCUAGUAGUAUUAGACUCAUUAACUUGGAUACAUUGUCUUGUAAUUAACCCAAAAAUUAUAUAUAUAUCAAAAAAAAAAAUGAGAGUGAGAGAGGAAAAUAGACUACCAAGUAACAAGUGAAAAAUGGUAAUACUAGGGUUAUUUAGAGUGGUUUCAAUGCACAACCGGAAUGAAUUGUUACCUUAUCUUUAGAGUCAAAGAAGGGUUCGUGACUAGUCUUUCAACAAUACUAUUUUCAAGGUUCAAACCUGCAUUAUCCUUUAAAUACGUAAUGUAUUUUAUCAUUACGCUCAAUAUUAUUAGUGAUUUACUUUAUUCUAUUCUUAAUUAAUAAUUAUGAUAUAUAUAAAGUUUAAGAUGGAUUUUCUUAUUUAUGUAUAUCAAUUAAAUCAAAUAUUUGUAUUUAAAGUUUUAACCCAACAUUAACUUUUUUUUUAAAAAUUUCUUCGUUUGUUGGUGGUGAUUAGGAGAUUGAUGGCCGGUCUUUGUGAUUGGUAGCUUUUAACACAAUGGCGAAGCUAAGGAGGCUUUAAAUGUUUAAAUGAAUAUUUUUUUCAAUUGAAAUUUCUUUAUAAUUUAUAAAAUUUUAAAUUAAUAAUGAUAAAAUUACAUUUUAAUUUUUUAAAAAUGAUAAAAACGUGGAAGCACAUUUGUACGAUUAAUAAUAAUGAUAAUAUUUUUCCUACCACAUGGAAGUUUAUGGAAACACCAUUGGGUUUUGUAUUUAUGUUUUAUUCGACACUCUUAUAAGUUUUACUGGGGAGAUUUGUUUGAUUGUAAGUGAGGUAUUUUGCGGAGAGUGAUUUAUAAUAAUUUAAAAUUAAUAUUGGGGUUACAAAUAACUAUGGGAGUAAAGUAGUUUAGACUUUAGCUAAUAAUUGAUCAAGAUGGAUUGUAGAAUAAAAUCAUUUUCGAAGCAAAAUUUUAUAAAAUUAGUAAAUCUGAAUUAUUCUAUAAUAUUGAUAUUAUCUUUCUUCACUUUAGCCCUUGCUUCACCUUAUCUCAAAAUUAUUCUAUAAUAAUCUAUUUUGUCUCAACCUUUUCAACAGAAUUUAAAAUGAAACUAUUUCUAUGAAGUGCAAACCAAAAACUUUUUCACAUACCAAUAAAUGGCAAGCAACCAUACCGUGGGCCCAAUGUCCCAACAAUCAUCUAAACAUUUUUUUUUUCUUUUUUAAAUAAUAUGUAAUAAUUUAUAUACCAUAAAUGAAUAUUAAUUAAAAUAAUAUAAACAAAAUACGACUCUUUAAUAUAAUAUGGAUCCAAAAUGUUUCAUAUUUGAAAUGCAGUUUUUGAUAAUUUCACAUUUCAUAUUUUAUCUUAGAACAAAAAGAAAAUUUGAACUUAAUAUUUGGACUAUUGAUCAAUGGUGUUUAUUAUAUUUCAAGACUAUCAGAUUAAUCUGUCGAUACUACUUAUAUGGUAUGGUUUAAAUGGGUGUGUGUGGAUAUAGAAAUUUGAAAUUCUAUUGUAUCAAAGAAAUUUUUUUUAAAAAUAAAAUAAAAAGGAAUUUGAAAUUUAAAAUUUGAGAUCAAAAUAAAAAAAAUGAGACUUGUUAUAAACCAUAAGGCUCAAAAAAGGUUACAACAAAUAUGGUUAAUAUUAUUUUUAUAUAUACUUAAUAAAAGUUUAAAAUAUCAAAUUUGUAAUAUUAUUUUUAUUUAAUAAAAUAUAAUUAAUAUAUUUUAUAUAAAAUUUAAAUAUUUUAUUGAAAUAUUAUGUUAGGUAAAUUUUAUUAAUUUUAUUUUCUUUAUAAAUAAAAUUAAUUUUAUUAAAAUUUGAGAUAAGAUAAUUAAAUUAAUAAAAGGUAUACUUCAUAUUUUAUAGUUAUUAUAAAUAAAAAAUUAUUAUAAAAAUUAAAAAAAAAGAAUUCUACAACAUAAUGAAAUAUUUUUAUUAAAAAAAACAGAAAUGAUUGAUGGAAUAUAUUUCCAAUUUUCGACGUUCAUUAAAAAAAAAAGAGUGGUCCUAAUAAUUGAUUUAUUGGGGAAAAAAAAGUGGUCCUACUAAUUUACCUCACAUUUGAAAUGUGUUAUAUGUAAUAAUAUUAAUAUCUUUAUCAAUUUUGGAGGUUCAUCCUUUCCCAUCUCUAUAAAUUCGCAUCGAGAAAUAAAGCAAUACAUCAACGCAAUCUGUAUAACCAUGAAAACCACAACAGCUUCAGUGUUUCUUCUUUUCAUCAUCUUCUCAGUCACACCAUCAUCUUUUUUGUUUGGUGUAGCCAACGCUACAAACGAACCUGUACUCGACAUUGAUGGCAACGAGGUUCAAACAGGCACCCCAUAUUACGUUGUGUCGUCCAUAUGGGGUGCUGGUGGUGGGGGGCUUGCCCUAGGCAGGCCUAGCGGAAACCCAUGCCCGGAAGUCGUUGCUCAAAGACGAUCCGGUGACGAUGGUAUUCCGGUGAUAUUUUCUAAUUCGGACUCCAACGAUGGCGUUGUUCGCCUAUCCUCUGACAUAAACAUAGAGUUCAUUCCCCUCAGACCCAAACUUUGCCGAACAACAACGGUGUGGAAGGUCGAUGAUUACGACCAUUCAGCCGGAAAAUGGUGGGUGAUAACGGAUGGGGUUAAAGGGAACCCGGGUGCCAACACUUUGACCAGUUGGUUUAGGAUAGAGAAGGCGGGUGAUCUUGAUUACACAUUUAAGUACUGCCCUGCAGUAUGUGGAACAUGCCCAGCUUUAUGCAACAAAAUUACGAGAGACUCAGAUGGAGAAAUGGUACGUUUGGCUCUCUCCACUGGCAAUGGAUGGCCAUUUUACUUUAAGAAAGUUGGAAAAUCAGCCAUGGAGAUUCAACAAGUUGCUCGUAAUUAGAUUGAAAGCAAUCAUUAUGCAUGAACUAGUAGUUACUACAUAAUAUUAGCUUCAAGUAAAUAAUGCUGAGAGAACUUAUUGUUAAGAUUGCCUUGUUUGAAGCGGCAGCAUGUAUAUAUAUAUAUGCUUGCUUACAAGGUUAAUUUGUCUCUCAGAGUCCUCUUUGUACUCUUUUCAGCUUAAUGAAUAAACUGUUUACUUAUUUACUUCUUUUGUUGCCAUUGAUUCUAGUAGCAUUCGACUCAUUAACUUGGAUACAUUACCUUGUAAUUAACCAAAAAGUUAUGUAUAUAUAUAUAUAUAUCAAAACAAAACAAAAAAGAGAGUGAGAGAGGAAAAUAGACUACCAAGUACCAAGUGAAAAAUGGUAAUACUAAAUUUCCAGAUAUAUGGCAUUGUUUGUGUGUGACAAACACCAAGUAUAAAUAGGUGGAAGUAUGACUACUUAUCAAGAGUGGUAUGGUUCAAAAACUACCCCUAUCGAAUUAUUUCAUCCUACUCAUUCGUUAUCGAUAGGAAGAAGGAUACUUCCAACAAGAAAUAUUUUGAAGGGUUAGUGUUGAGUUAGCUAAAAAUCAAAGUUUAUCAGAAGCUCGAUCUAAAAUUCGCCAAAAGGAGGAUUAUUCAAAGCGAUUUCAAUAGACAACGGGAAUGGAAUAGUCUUUGAGUGGUUAGGGCACCUUAUCUUUUGAGAUAAAGAAGGGUUGGUCCAUGUUUGCAGUUCGUGACUAAUCCUUACAACAAUGUCGUUUUCAAGGAUUGAACAUGUGUCAUCCUUUGAACAUGUAAUGUGUCUUACAAUUACACCUAACAUUGUUGGUGAUUUACUUUAUUAUAUUCUUAAUUAAUAAUUAUGAUAUAUAGUAUGUUUAAGAUGCAUUUUCUUAUUCAUGUAUAUCAAUUGAAUCAAAUAUUUGUAUUUAAAAUUUUAACUCGACAUAUCGAAGGUCUGCUACUCUAGCACGUCUUUGGUCUGCUGCUCUAGCAUGUUUUGGUUUUUUUAGGGUUUUUUUGGCUUAUUUCUCUUUGUUCUAGCGAUGACAGUUCUUGGGAUAGAGUAUUUCUUUUCAAUCUGGUUGAUUUUGAUUCGUGGCAAUGGAGGAUGAAUUGGCAGAGUUAACAUUGGAAGAUGAGGAAUAGGAGAUUUUGCAAGUACAGAAGGAAACUGAUUCUGCGACAGUGGUUUAAGAUCUUUGUCUGGUUGGAUACUUUCUCACAACGAGUGUAAUCCACUUUAUGACAAUGAGAAGCGCGAUGGCAAAUCUAUGGCAUCCUCUUAGAGGAGUUCAGAUCUCUAAUUUGGGGGAUAAGAAAUUAUUUCAAUUUUUUCAUAAAAUGGAUAUUGAUAGGGUACUAAAUGGGGAUCCAUGGACUUUCAAUAAUCAUCUUUUGGUGAUUCAUUUUUUGGAGGAUGGUGAGGAUCCGAUGAAGGUACCGCUAAUCUAUACGACUUUUAAGGUGCAAGUGCAUGAUUUACCCCCAGGGUUUUUUACUGAAUCUAUAGCAAAGAAGUUAGGCAAUUUUAAGGGUAAGUUUUUUGGAUCAAUGGAAAAAGCUUGGGUAAGGGCCUCAGGAAUUUCUUACAUAUACGGGUUUAGAUGGAUGUUAGAUGCUAUUUGAAGCGAAAAAAGAAGAUUAUGUUUUCACUUGGCAAGUGUUCCUAUGUCAACUUGAUAUACGAAUGACUAACUCUAUUCUAUUUUGUCUAUGGUUGUUUGGUAGACAAUGACUCUUUCUGUCAAGUUAGAAUGGCUAAAGGCUUAGAAGUUGUAGAGAUGGGAUGGUAUCUGUCUCUAAAAGCCCAGUCUAGGAGAGCUACUACGAUGAACAGCGUGUGGCUGCGGGAGGAAGGUAAAGGUGAGAUAAAGGGAAAUACCAUAGGACAUUUUGAUUUAGGGUAGGGAUUGUGGAAGGAUGGAAGGAAAGAAUCUAGGAUGCCCAUAGAUCUGUGUUGGGGUUAAAUUUGGAGGGUGGUUUGAAGUUAGUGUCGGGUAUGCAAGGGAACUCUUCAACGAUACAAGAUCAUUCGAAUAUGGAUCACGACUCAGAGGAAUGCGCUAUAAAAGGUAAAGAUGGGAAAAAAAGACCCAAAAAGGAUAAUGGAAAUCAUAGUGUUUCGAUUGUGACAGAUUCACUUGUGAUUAGAGAUGAGAGAUUGUUGGGACGAACUCACUUUUUAUCGGCAGCUGCCAAGGGGCAAGAUGAUCAGUCACAAUAAAAAUAAUUAGUUGGAACAUCCGUUGAUUGGGGUGUCCACAGGCUAUAAGAAGGCUUUGACAUAUGUUGAAGGUGUAUAAUCCCCAAGUGGUCUUCUUUAUGGAGACAAAAAUUAGUAAUGUGCAAAUAGAGAAUGUGCAUAGAAGGUGUGGAUUUUUAAAUGGUAUUGAUGUUUCGGCCGAUGGUUCAAGAGGAGGUCAUUUUCUAGCUUGGAAGGAAAAUGUUAAAACGAAUCUAAUGAGUUAUUCUAGUAGUCAUGUAGAUGUUGUAUUUUAGAAGAUUGAUAAUGGAGGUUUGCUGGCUUUUAUGGGACAUCAAAUGCGUGUAGCAGAGACGAUUCAUGGAAUUUGUUAAGAAAUCUAGGACGCUCUCAAGCGUUCCCUUGGCUAGUGUGUGACAAUUUUAAUGAAAUUAUAUACUCUUUUGAAAAGGUUGGGGUGCCAAGAGAGGAGAAGAGAAUAGAGGUCUUUUGAGGAGUCUUAUAGGAAUGUUAGUUAAUGGACAUUGGAUACUUUAGGGCUAGGUUUACCUGGGAAAGGGGAAACUUACCGAAAACGAAUAUGAGAGAGCGACUGGAUAGAGGAGUGGCGAAUGCCGAAUGGAUGAACAUGUUUUCUAGUGCAGUGGUUUAGCAUUUACCACAUUCUUUUCCAGAUCAUUGUCCCCUUUUUAAUCAUACGGAGCAGGAGAGUAAUAGGUUGAGGCAGAAAAGGUUUCAGUCCGAGGCAUGGUGGGUGAUGUAAGAAUCUUUUGAGGAGGAGGUUAAACAAAUAUGUCAAUCUACUUCGGGUGAUAUGUUGGCUAAGCUAGAAGGUGUGAGGAAGGGCUUAGUGAGAUGGGCGGGUUUUGUUAGAAAUAAAAGAGAGGGCCUUAAAAGGAAUUUGACUAGAAAAUUGGAGGAGAUGAUGGGAAAGGAUAGAGAUGAUGAGAAUAUUGUUGAACUAUCUUAAAAUUCUCUUGUCAUAACUUGAAGUUUGUGUCAUUUAAUAUAAGAAUACAAUUAAUGCCUGCAAUAAUGUUGGCAGGUAUAAUUAUUGUUGUAUCAAACAAAACAAUCUCAUGUAUGACUUCAAAUAUAAAACAAAAUAAUAAUUAAUUCGAAUAAAGGUAAACCCUAAGAUACCAAUCACUCCAUUAAUAUUUCAUUUUUGAACAAAUAUAUUAAGUUGUAAAUGAUAUCUUGGUGUAGUAAUUAAACACCGACAAUAAGCGUCACAUGUUUAUUACAACAGUUGCAAAUGUAAUUUUGUUAAAUAUUAGCCUCCAUUUAGGCCAGUCAAUAUUAACAUAACUUAAGUUACAUACACACAACCCCAAAAUUAUAAAAGUCCUAUUGUUAAAUUGAUUUGGUUCCUUUGACAUAGGAAAGCCGAAUUGCAUAAACAAUCAAUGUAUCCCCUAUUUUAUUCAUGUUUAUCACAAUGUUUGAAGGAGUGCUCACUCUUUUAGGGCGUGUUUACCAUUGAGGUUGAAAAGUAUCAUUAAACCCAAACAAUUAUUUCAAACCAAACAUUAAUUUUAAACUAGGAUUUUAGGCCAACCCAAAACUUCUAGCUUUUACUUUUUGGAAAGGUGCUUUUCAAUUAAAAACCUUUUUAUUCCUCGUUAAACUUUCUACUUUAUAACAUAAUGUCUAAAAUGGAAAUUUUAUUUUUCUAAAAACACUUAUAGACAACAAUAAUAAUUACUAUUAAUUUUUUCAAAAUCACUUUUCUACGGCACUGUUAAACUUAAAUGAUAAUCUAGCCUUUUAACCACUCUUUUCUAACAGAGAGCUUAUCUCUUAGCAAUAGUUUGGGCAAACAAAAAUAAUGUAUAUAUGAAAACGAAUAUUGAAUUUGAAUGUACAAUCAAUUUUCUGAAUAAUUAAUUAAAAAGAAUGUUUGAAUUCAAAAAUUUUAAAAAUUUUGAUAAAAAAUGUGGAAGCGCAGACUUGUGUGAUGAAUAGUAAUGAUAAUAAUGAUAGAAGCUGUUUCCUGGCACGAGGAACUUAUGGAAUUCGUCCAUUUGGUUCUAUAUUAGCCCUGUUGCUUCCGUGUUUAAGAGUAAAACGACAAAAUAUUAAGUAGAAAACACCAAACGAAUUGAACUAUUUUCUUAAGAUGGUGUCGGUAAUGUAUCUGUGGAUACCCAUUUGAAUUUUUAAAAAACUGAAAAAAUUAAUUUAUUUUUUAGAUUGAAUCAGCAGCAGGAAAAUAAGAAAAAAUACAACUUUGAGUUUGAGUUUGGAACUCUGAGAUUUCGCUCGGUGAUCUGAAUGGUGAGGUGGUAUGUUUAAAUACGGAGAAUAAUAUAUAUUCGACUAGCAACAAUCUGAUGGAGUGAAAUAGGAACUGAAAAAAAGGGUAAUUUAAAGUUUUGGUCAUUGUUUUAAAAGAUUACCUUCAGUCAUUAUAUUUUUCAGUUUUGGAAUUCCAGUACUACUUAAAUUGUAAUUGUUAAAUCUAUUUACUAUAAUGAUAUAAAAUUUUUAUGAAUAUUAACACUAUUAUUUUUUUUAAAGCACUUAUUCAUGGCACAAGGAACUUAUGAUGAAUAGUAAUGAUAAUAAUGAUAGAAGUUGUUUUUCUGGCACAAGGAACUUAUGAUGAAUAGUAAUGAUAAUAAUGAUAGAAGUUGUUUUCCUGGCACAAGCAACUUAUGGGAUUCGUCCAUUUGGUUCUAUAUUUCUCCGCUUGCUUGAGCGUUUAAGAGUUAAAGGACAAAUUAUUAAGUAGAAAACACCAAACGAAUUGGAAGGCUUUUGUCUUCUUCAAUUGGUAUGACCUAUAUUUCUUAUUAAACUUCGUAUUUUACAUUCAAUAUCAUCAUCACAAUCAUUUUAAUUUAUUUUCAUGAAUAAACUUUUAUGUCUCAUUUUAAUUGAAUCAUUAAAAUUUAUUAAUUGAAUUUUUUUUUAAGAUGGUACCGUUAAUGUGUCAAGUGAUAUCAAUUUAAAUUUUUAAAAAAAGUUGUUUGAAUUAAUUUGAUUUCAUUCGGUAAUCCAAACAGUGAGAUAGUGUGUUUAACUACGGGGAAUAACAUAUAUCCAAAUGGUGACAAUCUGGUGGAGCGAAACAGAUAUCGAAGAAAGAGUAGUUUAAUGAAUUUGGAGUCGACUUCUGGAAAAUCUGAAUUAUAGAAGUGAACGAAGAGGAAAUCUCUUCUUUGGUGCCGUAAUCGACAUAAACGGCCAUUAUGAAUGGCAACAUCGAUAAUUAUUGAGUACAAUGAUUAAAAUUUUCAGUUAAAAAAAAGGAAUGGAAAGGAAAACAAAAAGAAAAACGUGGAAAGAAAGAAAGAAUAAUAAUAAUUAAUUAAUAAAUAAAAAGAGAAUUGUGGGGGCGAUGCUUUUGAACAAAUCUUGAUUUAAACUAUGUAAAGAAAAUAUGCGUUAUAUAUAUAAUUAAUUAUGCACUUAUACUUAAUAUAUUAUAUAUUUAAUGUCAUAUUUUCAUAUUCUCGGGAAGUGGUAAUAUACAAGUACUUGAUUUGAUUUAUUUCUUGAUCGCUUCGUGAAUUUUAUGUUUGUAACAAUAGGGACAGAAUUUCUUCAAUUCCAAUCGACUGGGCGUAUUGUGUCAAUUUUUUUUGAGUAAUAUACCUAGAAAUACCCGUUGAUUCCUUAUAAACGCCGUUUCAAACACAACUGGUACACCCCAAAAUAACCGUUACUCAGACAUCUUUACUAUUGACCAUGAACCUCCUUUGAGUUUUUAAUUCACCUAACUUUUCUAUUUUUCAAUCAAAAGCGAAGAAGAAAGGAAUGAAAAAAAGAAAGAAAUCAAAGUUGCUAACUCAAAACAAAUCCUGACAAUUUUGGUUGCAAUCAAUAUAGCAAGUCAAUAUAAAUUUAUAGUAAUAGCAAAUAAUAAGAAUAAGUAAUACAACGAUUUCUAACUCUAUUUAGAAUCAAAUCAGAGUAUGGUAUUUUCUUUAAUCAAUUAAUUGAAUUCAAAAUAUUCAAUUAAAAUAAAUUAAAUUGUAUAAAUUUUAUAAUUUUAAAUUAUUAUUUUUGUAUUAAUUUAAAACAAAAUAAAUAUUAUAUACAAUAAUUUAGUUGCAGCAUGUCAGCUUGAAGUCCAAGACCUUAUAACAUAUAAAUUUAAUAGAUAAUUAAUAACUAAAAAAUUAAAUAGCAAAAGCAUAAUUGCGCCACUUCUCACCAUUUUAGUGUAUGCAACUUAUUAUAUAUUUAUAUAUAUUAUCAUUUCAUUUUAAAUAAUUUAAUUUUUAUAUUAAUUUUUAUAAAUUUAGGGAUAAAUCUUAAAAUUAUACAUAAACUUUAAUUUAAUGUGUAAUUGCAUACAUAAACUUUAAUUUGGUACAAUUAUACACAUGAUACUCUAAUUGUGGUUCAAAUACAUACUUGAAACUUUAAUUUUGAUUUAAUCAUACACAUUUAAAUAAAUAAAUACAUCAAUUUAUUUUUAUAUUGGGUAAAUAUAUUUAUGUAUGCAAUAUAUAACAUAAAAUGAUGUUAUAUCAAUAAUUGUGUUAAUAAUUUUCAAGAAUUGGAUCAAAUCAAAAUUUCAUGUAUAAAAUUGCACAAAAUCAAAGUUCAUGUAUACAAUUGCACAUUAAACCAUAAUUCAUGUACAGUUUUAGUAUUUAUCCCAUAAUUUAUUAAAUAAACUUUUUACCUAUAUCAUAUAUAGAGUUGUCUGUGAACCGAGCCAAGGAAUGCCCGCUCGAAAAAAUGAGGGUUUAAGAAAAAAAAUAUGCCCAAAAAAAGGGCUUGGAUAAAAAGACAAGGCCCGUUUAGAAAAUGAAUCGGGCCUUUGCUAAGGUUUUUUUUGUCCAAGCUCAGCCCGACCCAAAUUUUCAAUAAAAAAACCCUACUGUUUUUACCGCUAUUUUUUCAUAUUUUGGUGUUGUUUUCUCACUUUUUGCCACUGGUUUACUAUCAUUUCACUAUUAUGUUACUACUAUUUUUUUUGUUAAUGUUUGGAUAUUGUAUAACACUUGUUUUAUUGUUAAUUUUGUCACUAUUUUAGAGGCAUUUGUUUGUUAUGUUGUACUUAUCUUAGUUUUUAUUUAAGUAUAAAAAAUUUUUAAAUUCUAUUUUCAAUUUAUUGGAAACAUGUAAUUUAAUAUUUGUAGUAUAUUUGGUGUAUUAUAAUAAUAUUUAUUAUUAAAAUAUUAAUAUUGAAUAUUUUCAAUAAUAUGUGAAGAAUAUUAUUUAAAAUUAUUUUUUAAAAUUUAUUAUUAAAUUAAAAUUGAAAUAUUAAAUAAUUUAUUAAAAUAAUUAAUUAUAUUAAUAAUUAAUUAUAUGACUAAAUAUAAAUAAUUAAAUAUGUAUGUUUAAUAAUAUUGAAAAAUAUAAUAUUUUAUAUUAAUAUUUUAAAUAUUUUUAAAAAUAAAAAUAAAAGUUAUUUUUAAUAUAAUAAUAUUAAGCUUGAUUUAAAUUAAUUUUUAUAUAAAAAUAAAAUUACCUAUAGAUGAGCUCAUUUUUUAGAAAAUGACUUACACUUUUCAAAAUGAUAAGUCAUUUUAUAGGAAAAAGAGCUAAUUUUACGUUGACCUAUAAGUCAUUUUCCGUUGACCAAACUGUUUUCUGUAAAACAAACAUAGAAAAAUGCAGAAAAUAGUUUCCGUAAAACUUUUUACAUGUAAACAAAUGGACCCUUAAUUCAAGCUUAUUCCAACAUAACCCACUUCACUAUUAGCAUGACUCUCCCUUAUACUAAAUUUAACCAUUAACCCUUCUCAUGAUUUCUAACAAAAAUUUUCAAGUUCUCUUUAAUGGCAACUUGUAUUAACUUCAACAAUAAGAAAUUCUAACUAUGGGGUUGGUUGUAUCAAGUUUCAUAGUUUAAAAAUCUAUAAAAAAAUUAUUGAGAAAAUAAUUUGUUUACCUUUGAUGGCCUUGAUGGAGAACAACUUGGUUUCUUCUUCUACUUAGUUUAAAGAAUGCAUGAAGAAGAAGAAGAUUUCCCCUCUCCCACUAUUUUAAAUAUAUAUAUAAAUAACCUAUUAAUCAAGGUAAUUAAGUCACUAAUUAACCUUAAUUAGUUAUGAUCUAAUGGCCAUAAACUUAUCAUGAGAAAAUUAGUGGAAAUGUGCGGCAUUGAUAAUGGUUUGCCAAUAAUCAAACUUUGGGCAUGGUAAUAUUGCAAUCAGGUUUUUGGUAUAAUUACACUUUUAAGUACUUGCUAAAUUCUGUAAUCAAUUCCCACUAGUUGGGUCACUUGAACAAUUGGGUCCAUGUACUAUAGUUACAACUUAUCCAAUUUAAUCAAUUAAUGAUUUGACUUUAUAAUUUCAUGUACAACACACAAACUCCUCUAGUAAAUUCUCGAGCUAGCUUUAUUUAAAAAUUUGGCCUCAAAAAUAGCUUUCCAAAUGUUCAUGAAAAUUGAGUCGUUACAUAUGGUAUUUGUUUUGUUCAGCUUAUUUGUCAGGCUCUAUAUCCUUUGAACUUAUGUUCGUUGACUUUGGUGUUGCUUAAAUGAAAAUGUGGUGAACAAUCUUAUGGAUAGGAGGAGUGUAUGAUUGAGUAUGUGUAACACCCUUAACCCACAUCCUUCGCCGAAUUAGAGUGACAGAGUGUUACUUGUAACACCCCAAACCCAGCCUAAACGUUAUGGUCGUAUCUGGCAAUGUCACACAAUAGUGUUUUUGAAACCUCGUUGUUACGUUGAAAACAUUUCAUGUUAUUAUCUUUAGUAAACAUUUGUUAGAACUUAGGAAGUCGUCUUUAUUCAUUUAAAACAUUUGUUUUGAAACAUCCCUCGUUGCGGAAGCUUUAAUAAAACAGUCUAAGUGAUCAUGCGUUUAGAAACUAUUUUAAUUUUUUGAAAACUGAAUUUCCUACGACCAACAGGUAUAAAUCCAUAAAGUAAAAUAAAUAAAUAAAAACCCAAAAUUUAAAACCAAAGUCCCAGAAGGUCCUUAAAUUACAACCCAAAUAAUCAAUAAUAAUUAAAUCAUAAAACGUAAAUUGAAAACCAUGAAGUCCAAAAAUUACUGUGGUCACCGCUGAGUCCUCCGUCGCACCGAUUCGUCUAAGUCUGGGGAUUACCUGUGCACGUUAAACAAAAAGGGUGAGUUUACGUAAAUUCAGUGUGUAGUCCCGCAGAAACAAAUAAACAAUCAGUAUUCACAGUGCACAGUUGAACAGUCUUGGGCCCAAGCCCAUCUCAGUACAAUGUCAAAAAUGCAGUAGCAGAAUCCUACCCAACCAACCUCCACACACUAUCUCCGCCCAACCCUACACUCCAUGUGGGGAUAUAAUCAACCCACCCAUCCCUACACUCCAAGUAGUACCGAAUGCGGCACAAAACAGUAGUUUGCAGCUGAGCUGCCAGUAAAUUAGGCUUAAAGCCUUUCAGUACACUUCCUCUGAAUAACAACCCCCAACCCGAUGCAAUGCAACAUACAAUAGAUGAUAUGCUAUUAUGCAAUUUCUGUACAUAUAUUUGGUUCAGAUAUUAACAUGCCCAGUAUAGAUAUCAUUCAGUCAAUUUCACACAUUUAGGGGUCUAAGUAGCGCUUACCGACCUUACAGUAGGUUCACAGUUGACUUGGGUGACCCGUACAACCUUAGAAACAUUCCGGUAAAAUUGGGCUACAUGCCCGUGUGUGCCCGUGUGGCCCACUCGGCCCAAUUUGGCCUUGGUCGUGUGAUCCAUUUUUAAUGUAACCCAUGCUAGCUAAAUAUUCAUAUAUGUUUUCACUAUUUACUUAUAUGUUCAUUUAAAGUUGUCUACUUGAGUCAUUGUCACUAAAUUAUUUAUACCUUGAGCUACAGAAUUCCAAAUUAAGAUCCGCUUGAUGUUUUCAAAACUAUACUCAAAUACCUUUCUACCAUAAAAUUUUCAAAUUUUAUAGUUUACCAAAUAAGUACAGUAAAAUCUUCAAAUUUAUCCCAAUUCUGCUAUUUGAUAGCUUCAACGUUUCCUUACUAAAAAUUAUUUAUCUCUUAGUACGGAAUUCGGAUGAUGUUUCCUUUGUUUCUCUUGAAAAUAGACUCGUUAAGGAUUUAAACAUAUAAAUUUAAGCCCCUAAUUAUUUUUUAAAAUUUUCGAUGAUUUUUCCAAAAUCAGAACAAGGAACCAAAACCCAUUCUAACAUUGUCUCACAAAAUUCAUUAUAUCUCAUAACUUAAAAUUUCAUUGCUUACACAGUUUCCUUCAUGAAAAACUAGACUCAAUAAAAUUUAAUAUCAUAUUUUAUUCAACCUCUAACUCAAUUUCCCCUAUUUUUGAUGAUUUUUCAAAGUUAGACUACUACUGCUGUCCAAAACUAUUUUAAUGCAGAAUGUUGAUUUCCAAGUUUAAAACACCCUUAUUUCCUUUCUCUACAAUUUUUUGCAUCAUUUUCUCUUAUUUCUCGUAUUUCUCGAUAGCAAGCAAUUUCAGCUUUUCGUUGAAUCCCAUUUUCUGCAUUUUGGGUACACACCUGGUAUCGUUUCUGAUGCGUAAGCACUCUUAAGCCUCCAGAACCUAAAAAUCGACCAAUAAAUCUCCAAAUUAAUCACUUAAUUCAUUUUUAAUCAACCAAUUUUGGAAGGAACUCGACUAAAAAAACCUAACAAAACCCUUACCUUGCUUCAGUAACCACGACUUCGCACAAUCAUAGUGUCGAUUCAAAACCACCAACCCCUUGAUUAACUCAUAAACACCAAAAAAGAAACCCCUUUUCAGAGAUUAACCAAGAACGAUUAACAAUAGAAAAAACUGUUACUUACCGAACACACGCAACCAACGAUGAACAACCAAAUCAAUUGGAAAAUAAUGAAAGAAAAGGAAGAGAAAAAAAUAAUGGAAAUUUCGGCAGCAACUAGGGGAAAGAAUCGGUAGAGGAGAGAAAAAAGAAGAAAAAAUCAGAAAAAGUUUGGGUAAUUGGAGAGAAAACCAAAACUCUACUUUUUUUUCUACAACAAAAAGAUAAUCAGAUUAUUUUCUGAUAACCUCUCCCCCAUUAUCUCCUAAAAUCACUCCUUAUUAACCCACUAAAACACAACUACUCAGAAUUUUACCCCAACACAACUCUUAGCCAAAAUUGGAGCAAAAAUACUGUCUCUACGCCAUCAUAGAGAAUUGAACAUAAGACCUCCUUCACACCAACACUCCAUUUAUCCACCAGACCAGCAAGCCCAUUCUGUUAAUUAUUUGUCAUCUUUUACUUAAAAGCCUACUGACCAAAGAUAGGGCUUAUUCAUAAAAAUACCAAAAUUUUCCCAAAACCUGGCUUGAACUUGGGACCUCUCACACACCCAAAACACUUAACCACUAAAGCAGAUACACAAUUGUGUCACACCUUCGUAAGAACAAAAAUAAAAAUUUUGGGACGUUACGUUACUAUACAAAAUAGAACAUUUCAUGACAACACAUAAAUAAUUAUGCAAAUUAUCACAAUCAUUAAUUAACCAUAUUAAAAUAUAACAUAAAUAUCCAUACGACCUUUAAAUCGAGCUUAUAUGUCCCUAAAAAUAGCUUGAGAUCAAUCUAGGAUCAAUUUUGAACAAAAACAUAAAUUUUAAAAAAACCCUAAAAAUUUUGGAAAACAUGGGUCACACAGCCGUGUGUCCAGGCCAUGUGACAUAGCCCAGACCUUGUGGGCAUUCAAAAUCAGGUAACGCAGUCAUGUCCCAGCCCGUAUGUCUACUUGUGUGAAUAUUCGAAAUAGGGUCUCACGGUCGUGUCGAGGAUCGUAUGCUAAACCGUGUGUAUAUUCAAAUUAUGGACACACGGCCGUGUCGCAGGCCAUGUGCUAGACCUUGCUCAAAACUAUUUUGAGACACACAGCUGUGUCUUAGACUGUGUGAAAUUUUCACUUUAAACAACAACACACAGCCGUAUCCUAAGCCGUGUGCACCAAAAUGUACCUUAAAAAUCAAAUUUACCAAAACAUGUUUACUUAGGCAUCAAGCAACCUAAUUACCAUCAAUUAAACUCAUUCAAAACACGAUUAAACAUGUUCAAAAUAUCCAUCCUAAGUUCCUAACCAUUGUGCCCUCAUUGACACCAUAAUUCAAUAAUCAAAUCAAUCACAUUUAAACCAAGAUUUAAACAUUCAAAUUAUAAAAUCACCAUUAACCAUUCAUACCAAAACACUACUCAUUUCAAGUCAUAAACACCUAGCAAUAUUCACAUACUUUAUAAAGCUUAACUACCAAUACCAAAUAAGAUCCAUACACACAUACAUACCAAACAAAACACAUAUUCACAAGUAUCAUUCAAGGUUUACAACUUUACAUGUAAUUAACAUGAUUUCAAGUCACUUAUUACAUGUCAUAUAACCCAAAACAAACAUUAAACAAACUACCAAUAGUUUCUCGAAUAGUUGAUUCUUGAUCUUGAUCUAUAAUAUAAUUUAUUUCAAUUAUUAGCCUCAAUUUUCAUAUUCUAAUCAUUUCAAUACAUAUGAUCUCUUGUUUACAAAUUUACAUAAUUACCCUAAAUUUUUACACAUUAUUCAAUUUAAUCCCUAUGACCAAAUCAAGCUUAGUUCUACAAUUAAAUUCUCAAUCCAUAGAACUAAAUUUUAACCACAUCCAAAACAAUUCAUAUAUGCUAAAAUUUUCAAGAGUAACAUGUCUAUUUCAAUUAAAUCACUAAACAUCAAAAUUUGUAAAAAUCACUUUACAAACUCAAUACAUAUCAUCACCAAGCUUCAACCCAAACUAUUUAAUAUUACAAAUCUUCAAAAUUUUCAAUACAUAAUUUCUAUACUUUGAUAACUUCACAAAUAAACUCCAAAACUAGCUAAAUUCCAUUAUCAAUAGCUCAAAACUUAAAUUUUAUGAUAAAUAAACCAAGAAAAUACUUACAUGCAUUAAAAACUAUCAAAAACCAAGCUCCCAAGCCUUAGAACAAAGGUGUUUCGGCCAAACCUAAGAAAAAUAAAGAAGAUGACCACUACCCCACUUUUGUUUUACUUUCUUUUUAUUAUUAUUAUAAUGUUUAUUUAUGAAAUUAUAACAUUAUCAAACACCAAUUUGAUAUUGUUUUUCUCUCUUUACCGCCCAUAUUAACUAACUAUGGGCUAAUGGCAACAUAACCCCCCUUAGUUUACUAAUUUAAGCUGUUAUAUUAAAAUAAAUCAAUAAUAAGCAACUUUUCCACCUAUUACAAAUUAAUCCUUUUUCUUUAAUCAAUUCACUAUACGUUAAAUUUUCUAAACCAAAACUUAAUAUAACACUGAUGACUUUGUAAAUAUUAAAUAAUUAAUAAUUUUAGAUUGACACGUCGAAAUUGUGGUCCUAAAAUCAUUAUUUUCAACACCACUAGAAAUCGGACUGUUAUAGUAUGGUUCUACCUCUUAGGGGGAGAUGUAUUCUAGUUUCCUUUCACUUGUUUAGAUGAUGUGUUAAUCAUUUGCUAUUGGUUUUGUCAAAAUGCCAAAUGGUGAGAUUGUUUGAACUUUGACUUCUUUUCUUAUUUCACUUCAUGUUCGAAGAGUAGAUUAAACCAUGCUUUGAUGCAUUCAAAGAAUUUAUGUUGGUAUAUUUGAUUUUAUAAUGAAAUGGCUUAUAGUUUAAUCUCGUUGAGUAGCAAAUGGGGAAGUGAUUUUGUAUUAUAACAUGUGAUGAUCAUUAUCUUUCAAUCAACUACCUUGGAAAAGAACGAGAGGAGUUUGAACUUUUGGGGACUUUCGUAAUAUUUGAAGCUGCUGAGAUAUUUGUUUAUAAAGACUUUUAUUUAUCAUUAAUCAAAAUAAUUCAUGAGAUAAUUUCAACCUUUAUAUUGGAGUUCUAAACUUAUGAAGACUCUAUUAUUGGCCUAUAAAUAGGCAUAAUUACCGCACAUUGAAAAUAGGCUUUUGGAGGGUUUGGAUACUUUGGUGAAUUUUUCAUUGGGCUAUAAAUAGGCAUAAUUACCGCACAUUGAAAAUAGGCUUUUGGAGGGUUUAAGUUGGAUACUUCAGUAAAUUUUUCUUGUGUUUUAUACCACACUCUUUUUAAGUUUUAUUGGAGAUAUUUAUUUGAUUGUAAGUGAGGUAUUUUGGAGAGAAUGAUUUAUAAUAAUUUAGGUUCAAUAUUAAAGUUGCAAAUAAUUACGGGUAAAAGUAAUUUGGACUGUAGUCAAUAGUUGAUCAAGACGAAUUGUAAAUUAAAAUUAUUUUCUAAGUAAAAUUCUACAAAAUAAAACUGGUAAAUUCAAACUGCGUUAAUAAAUAUUACAUAUUAUCUUUCCUUACUUUACUCGUUGCUUUACCUUAUUUUAAAAUUGUUUUGUUAUAAUCUAUUAUGUUUGAACCUUUUCGAUCGAAAUAAAAAAAAUGAGAUUGAAAUUGUGAUAAAGCUAAAAAAAGGUUACAACAAAUAUGAUUAAUAUUAUUUUUUAUAUAUACUUAAUAAAAGUUAAAAAGGGAAUUCCAUUUAUUGAAUAUUAUUUUAUUUAAUAAAAUAUAUUUUAUAUAUUUUAUAUAAAAUUUAAACAUUUUAUUGUUUGUUAGUUAAAUUUUAUUAUUUUUAUUUUCUUUAUGAAUAAAAAUAAUUUUCCUAAAAUAUGAGAUAAAAAAUGUUAUAGAGAAUUAAAUUAAUAAAAAGUACAGUUCAUACUUUAUAAUUAUUAUAAAUGAAAAAAUAUUAUGAAAAAAUAUUAAACAUAAAAAAUUAAUUCUAAAAUAAACUUAACUAUAAUAAAAUAAUUUUAUAUAAAAAAAGAAAUUAUAGAAAAGACUUAUUGAAUAUAUUUCCAAUUUUCGACAUUCAUAAAACAAAAAAUAAAAAAAGUGGUUCUAAUAAUUUAUUUAUACAAAAAAAAAAAAGUGGUCCUGACGUUCAUCCUUUCCCAUCUCUAUAAAUUUGCAUGCAGAACUAAAGCAACACAUAUCAACACAAUCUGUAUAACCAUGAAAACCACAACAGCUUCGGUGUUUCUUCUUUUCAUCAUCUUCUCAAUCACACCAUCGUCCUUUUCGUUUGGUGUGGCCAACUCUACAAACGCUCCUGUGCUCGACAGUGAUGGCAACGAGCUCCGCACGGGCACCCCAUACUUCGUUGUGUCGUCGAUAUGGGGUGCUGGUGGUGGGGGGCUUGCCCUAGGCAUGCCUAGCGGAAACCCAUGCCCGGAAGUCGUUGCUCAAAGAGGAUCCGGUGACGAUGGUAUUCCGGUGAUAUUUUCUAAUUCGGACUCCAACGAUGGCGUUGUUCGCCUAUCCUCUGACAUAAACAUAGAGUUCAUUCCCCUCAGACCCAAACUUUGCCGAACAACAACGGUGUGGAAGGUCGAUGAUUACGACCACUCAGCCGGAAAAUGGUGGGUGAUAACCGAUGGGGUUAAAGGGAACCCGGGUGCCAACACUUUGACCAGUUGGUUUAGAAUAGAGAAGUUGGGUGAUCUUGAUUACACAUUUAAGUACUGCCCCGCAGUAUGUGGAACAUGCCCAGCUUUAUGCAACGAAAUUGUGAGAGACUCAGAUGGAGAAAUGAUACGUUUGGCUCUCUCCAAUGGCCAUGGAUGGCAAUUUUACUUUAAGAAAGUUGAAACAUCAGCCAUGGAGAUUCAACAAGUUCAUAAUUAGAUUGAAAGCAAUCAUUAUGCAUGAACUAGUAGUUACUAUACAUUAUUACCUUCAAGUAAAUAAUGCCGAGAGAACUGAUUGUUAAUUAAGAUUGCCUUGUUUGAAGCAGCAGCAUGAAUAUAUAUAUAUGCUUGCUUACAAGGUUUGUCUCUCAGAGUCCUUCUCUUUGUACUCUUUCCAGCUUAAUGUAUAAACUGUCUACUUAUUUACUUCUUUUAUCGCCAUUGAUUCUAGUAGUAUUAGACUCAUUAACUUGGAUACAUUGUCUUGUAAUUAACCCAAAAAUUAUAUAUAUAUAAAAAAAGAGUGAGAGAGGAAAAUAGACUACCAAGUAACAAGCGAAAAACGGUAAUACUAGGGUUAUUUAGAGUGGUUUCAAUGCACAACGGGAAUGAAUUGUCGUUGGUUGGGUGGUUAGGGCACCUUACUUAUCUUUAGAGCUAAAGAAGGUUUCGUAACUACUCUUUCAAUAAUAUUAUUUUUAAGGUUCGAACCUGCAUUAUCCUUUGAACACGUAAUAUGUUUUAUCAUUACGCUCAACAUUAUUAAUGAUUUACUUUAUUCUAUUCUUAAUUAAUAAUUAUGAUAUAUAUUAAGUUUAAGAUGAAUUUUCUUAUUCAUGUAUAUCAAUUAAAUCAAAUAUUUGUAUUUAAAGUUUUAACCCAACAUUAACUUCUUCUUUUUUUUAUUUCUUUCUUUGUUGGUGAUGAUUAGGAGAUUGAUGGCCGGUCUUUGUGGUUGGUAGCUUUUAACACAAUGGCAAAGCCAAGGAGGCUUUAAAUGUUUAAAUGGAUUUUUUUUUCAUUUAAACUUCUUUAUAAUUUAUAAAAUUUUAAAUUAAUAAUGAUAAAAUUACAUUUUAAUCUUUUAAAAAUAAUAAAAAUGUGGAAGCACAUUUGUACGAUUAAUAAUAAUGAUAAGAUUUUUCCCACCACAUGGAAAUUUAUGGAAACGUCAUUGGGUUUUGUAUUUAUGUUUUAUUUGACACUCUUUUAAGUUUUAUUGGGAAGAUUUGCUUGAUUGUAAGUGAGGUAUUUUGGAGAGAAUGAUUUGUAACAAUUUAGAUUCAAUAUUCGAGUUGCAAAUAAAUAUAGAGUAAAGUAAUUUGGGCUUAGUGAAUUAUAGAAUAAAAUCAUAUUCUAAACAAAAUUUUAUAAAAUAAAAUUAAUGAAUCCUAACUAAGUUAACAAAUAUUUCUUCACUCUAGGCAUUGCUUCACCUUAUCUCAAAAUUGUUCUGUAAUAAUCUAUUUUGUCUCGACCUUUCCAACAGAAUUUAAAAUGAAACUAUUUCUGAUAAGUGCAGGCCAAAAACUUUUUCGCGUACCAAUAAAUGGCAAGCGACCAUACUGUGGGCCCAAUGUCCCAACAAUCAUCUAAACAUUUUUUUUAAUAAUAUGUAAUAAUUUAUAUACCAUAUAUGAAUAUUAAUUAAAAUAAUAUAAUAUGGACCCAAAUUGUUUCAUAUUUGAAAUCCAAUUUUUGAUAAUUUCACAUUUCAUAUUUUAUCUUAGAACAAAAAAAAUAUAUUUGAACUUAAUAUUUGGCCUAUUAAUCAAUGGUGUUUACUAUAUUUUAAGACUAUCGAAUUAAUCUAUCGACACUACUUGUAUGGUAUAAUUUAAAUGGGUGUGUGUGGGUAUAUAAAUUUGAAAUUCUAUUGUAUCAAAGAAAAAUUUAGAAAAAAAUAAAAAAAAAAAAGAAUUUGCAAUUUAUAAUUUGAGAUAAAAAUAAAAAAAUGAGAUUUGUGAUAAACCAUAAAUUAAGCUCAAAAAAAGUUACAACAAAUAUGGUUAAUGUUAUUUAUAUAUAUACUUAAUAAAAGUAAAAAUAUCGAAAUUCCAAUAUUAUUUUUAUUUAAUAAAAUAUAAUUAAUAUAUUUUAUAUAAAAUUUAAAUAUUUUAUUGAAAUAUUAUGUUAGGUAAAUUUAUAAAUAAAAUUAAUUUUACUAAAAUUUGAGAUAAGAGAAUUAAAUUAAUAAAAGGCAUAUUUCAUAUUUUAUAGUUAUUAUUAAUAAAAAAUUAUUAUAAAAAUAAAAAAUCAAUUCUACAACAUAAUGAAAUAUUUUUAUUAAAAAAACCAGAAAUGAUUGAUGGAAUAUAUUUCCAAUUUUCGACGUUCAUAAAAAAAAAAAGAGUGGUCCUAAUAAUUUAUUUAUUGGGAAAAAAAAAGUGGUCCUAUUAAUUUACCUCACAUUUGAAAUGUGUUAUAUGUAAUAAUAAUAAUAUCUAUAUAAAUUUUGGACGUUGAUCCUUUCCCAUCUCUAUAAAUUCGCAUGGAGAACUAAAGCAACACAUAUCAACACAAUUUAUAUAACCAUGAAAACCACAACAGCUUCGGUGUUUCUUCUUUUCAUCAUCUUCUCAGUCGCACUAUCGUCCUUUUUGUUUGGUGUAGCCAACGCUACAAACGACCCUGUGCUCGACAUUGAUGGCAACGAGGUUCAAACUGGCACCCCAUACUACGUUGUGUCGUCGAUAUGGGGUGCUGGUGGUGGGGGGCUUGCCCUAGGUAGGCCUAGAGGAAAGCCAUGCCCGGAAGUCGUUACUCAAAGACGAUCCGGUGACGAUGGUAUUCCGGUGAUAUUUUCUAAUUCGGACUCCAACGAUGGCAUUGUUCGCCUAUCCUCUGACAUAAACAUAGAGUUCAUUCCCCUCAGACCCAAACUUUGCCGAACAACAACGGUGUGGAAGGUCGAUGAUUACGACCAUUCAGCCGGAAAAUGGUGGGUGAUAACCGAUGGAGUUAAAGGGAACCCGGGUGCCAACACUUUGACCAGUUGGUUUAGAAUAGAGAAGGUGGGUGAUUUAAGUUACAAAUUUAAGUACUGCCCCACAGUAUGUGGAACAUGCCCAGCUUUAUGCAACGAAGUUGGGAAAGACUCAGAUGGAGAAAUGGUACGUUUUGCUCUCUCCACUGGCCCUGGAUGGUCAUUUUACUUUAAGAAAGUUGAAAAAUCAGCCAUGGAGAUUGAACAAGUUGUUCAUAUUUAGAUUGAAAGCAAUCAUUCUGCAUGAACUAGUAGUUAUUAUAUAAUAUUAGCUUCAAGUAAAUAAUGCUGAGAGAACUGAUUGUUAAGAUUGCCUUGUUUGAAGCAGCAGCAUGUAUAUAUAUAUAUGCUUGCUUACAAGGUUUGUCUCUCAGAGUCCUUCUCUUUGUACUCUUUUCAGCUUAAUGAAUAAACUCUUUACUUAUUUACUUCUUUUGUUGCCAUUGAUUCUAGUAUUAGACUCAUUAACUUAGAUACAAUGACUUGUAAUUAACCAAAAAGUUGUAUAUAUAUAUAAAAAGAGUGUGUGAGGGAGGAAAAUAGAAUACCAAGUACAAAGUGGAAAAUGUUAAUACUAGGAUUAUUCAAAGGGAUUUCACUGGACAACAGGAAUGGAAUAGUGGUUUGGUGGUUAGGGCAUUUUAUCUUUAGAGAUAAAAAAAGGUUGGUUCAUGUUCGGAGUUUGUGACUACUCCUUCAACAAUGUUAUUUUUAAAGUUUAAACUUGCGUCACCUUUUAAACACGUAAUAUAUCUUACCAUUACACCCAAUAAUAUUAACUAUUUACUCAAUUGUAUUCUAUCCUAUUAUUAAUUGAUGAUUGUUAUAUAUAUUAAGUUUAAGAUGAAUUUUCUUAUUAAUGUAUAUCAAUGGAAUCAAAUAUUUGUAUUUAAAAUUUUAACUCCACAUUAACUUUUUUUUUUGUUCGUUUGCUGGCGGUGAUUAGGAGACUAAUGGUUGGUCUUUGUGGCUAGUAGCUUUUAACUCAAUAGCAAACUCAAGGGUUGAUAGGGGCAGACUUCACUUAAAGGGAAAAUUUCUUAUUUAAAUUCUUUUAUAAUUUAUAAAAUUUUAAAUAAAUAAUAAUAAAAUUACAAUUUAAUUCUCAAAAAUUGAUAAAAAUGUACAAGCAAAUUUGAACAAUUAAUGAUAAUAAUGACAAGAAGUUGUUUCCUGCCACAUGGAAAUUUAUGGAAUCGUCCAUUUGGUUUUAUAUUUGUCCAUUUGCUUGAAUGGUUAAGAGGAGAAAAACAAAUUAUAAUUAAGUAUACAAAACCAAACGAAUUUCAAGGGUUUUCUCUUCAAUUAUUGUCGACUUUAGCUAAUUAUUAGUAACUUUUUAUUAUUUAAUUAUAAAAAAUUAUAAAAUAGUGACUUAACUGUAAAAAAUAUAUAUAAAAUAGUUAUCUAACUAUUUACUUUUUUUUUUAUCAUCACCUGAUUAAUGGUGGUAAUUUUUAUACUUGACAUAAUAGUAACUUUAACCAUCAAUAAUUAUACAUUAUGUCAAUUUAGUCUUGAUUUUAAAAAAUUUAACCCUCAAUAUUUACAUAUUGUGUAAUUUAAUAUUUUUAUUGUUUUGUUUUUCGUUGCUAAAAAUAAAUUAUAAAAAUGAUAAAAUAUGCAUAAAAAUAAUAAUGCAGGCACCGAUUAUGUGUUAUUAUAGAUUUAUAACAAUUAUCUUUUUAUAAAAAUAUUUUAUUAUAAAUAUAUAAUAAGCACUUCUCUGUAACAAACGGAAUUAUUAUAAAGAAGGUUUAAUGUAUUUUUCAAUUUUCUAUUUUCAUAAUAAUAAUAAUAAAUGAAAAGAAAAAAGUGGUUCAAUUAAUUUAUCCUUUCCCAUCUCUAUAAAUUGACAUGGAGAUCUAAAGCAACACAUACCAACACAAUUGAUCUGUAUAACCAUGAAAACCACAAAAGCUUCAGUGUUUCUUCUUUUCAUCAUCUUCUCAGUCACACCAUCAUCCUUUUUGUUUGGUGUGGCCAACGCUACAAAUGAACCUGUGCUCGACACUGAUGGCAACGAAGUCCAAACUGGCACCGAAUACUACGUUGUGUCGGCGAUAUGGGGUGCUGGUGGUGGUGGGCUUGCCCUAGGCAGGCCAAGCGGAAACCCAUGCCCGGAAGUCGUUGCUCAAAGACGAUCUGGUGACGACGGUAUACCGGUGAUAUUUUCUAGUUCGGACUCCGACGAUGGAGUUGUUCGCCUAUCCUCUGACAUAAACAUAG
rnacentral:lncRNA from 1 species